UUUUUUUUUUUUUUUGGAGGUUAGGCUAGUUAGAAACUUAUAUGAUAAAAGUAAGAGUAAUUGUGACAUUCUGAUGAUAUGCAGUCUUAGCAAACCCCUACUUUGCUUAAUUAAAAUUUAUUUAACUUUUGGAAUGAAUUUUGAUCCUGUAUAUAGAGGGAUGCAGCAGAUGAUUCAUAUGGCUGAACCCAGCUAACCUGGGAUUGAGGAAAAAUUAAUUGAUUGACCAGACCUAGUGCACACUUUAAGAUUAAAAGUCCCUAGUAAACCUACUUCUUUUAUCUUAGAAGAUAUGACGCAUUCUUGCUUUCAAUUUUGUAAGAAUAAACAAAUUACACAAGUUUCAGGAAGAGAAGAAAGAGAAUAAGCAAGAGGUUUCAGGAACUAAACUGUUCAGCGUUUAUACCUCAAAUUUCUCAAACAGACCAACGACAAACACGGAAUGCUUCUUGAGAAAGUCGCUUGCCUCAGCAUCUGAACUGAUUCUAAUAAUAGGAACACCUGUCUUCUUCCUUGCCCAGAUAACAAGUUCUUCCCUGAUCAACAUGCGAGUGGCACAUACGUAAAUCAACAAAUUGGAUGCACACAUGAAAGCACAACAUAAAGAGCUACACUAGUCUGUCCACCUAAGUCCUAAUUUUAUCACUGUACUAUCUUAUACUCUCUCCAUCCCGAUUUAUGGGCAGUCCCGUGCACUAAAAGCUCCCGUUACGCGUGGGGGCCCGGGGAAGGACGAAACCACAAGGGUCUAUCGUACACAGCCUUACCUUGCACUUCUGCAAGAGGCUGUUCCCAUGGCUUGAACCCGUGAUCUCUUGUUCACCUGACAGUAACUUUACCAAUAUCCAAUUUGAGAGUCAAUUUGACUGAUCUUUGAAACUAAAUUCGAUCAGAUCAACUCAAAAUUUCGAAUCAAAAUUAUAGAUAUGCAAAAGCUAUACUAAUAAUACUAUUAACUUGCAAUUGCUUACGCGGAGAAUCCACCAGUGUAAGGUUGAGAAGUGCCAUUAACAAACAGAAGCAGCGUAGGGAACCCUUUGAUCUCAAGAGAAGCCGCAACUUUAGGGUAUCGUUCAGCAUCAAUCUUGGCCAUCAAAAGCGAACUCCCCAAUUCUUUAAGAGCAGUAGCAGCCUCAGCAAAUUUGGGCAUCAGCUCAGCACUCCUAGCAUCCCACGGAGUAUAACCCAGAACCAAAACAUACUCAUUUCCAUCAAUUGCCCUCUUAGUAUUGUCAUUAUUAAGCUCAAGUACUAUUCUCUGUGCCUUACUUACAAACUCCGCUUCAGACGGCGUCUCAUGAUGCCCCCCUUCAGCAUCUUCUUGUUCAUCCAAUGCUAUGAGUUCUUCUAGACUUUCUAUGUCAUCAUCAACAUCUUCAUUAGCAAGUGAGGGAGCCAAGAAGGUGAGUAACAGGAGGAGGAGUAAGGAGAAAAGGAUGAAUCUUGAAGUGGGUUUUGGAGCAUACAUGACUAGUUGUAAGUUGGAUUAGGAGGAUCUACGUUGAUUUGGGUGAUGCAAACUGUGGGGAACCUUUUGGAAAGAUGUAAAACUGAAGUGAAAAGUGGGGGCGCAUCGCUGUAAGAAAACUGACCAGUGGGUCUAUUUUAAGUACGUUAAGUUGAACGUCAAUCGCGCCAUAUUUUAAUGCGUUCACCUUCCUUUUUUUGGCUUAAUGUCGGUACAUGCGCUAGGACGGCCUAAUAACUUAGUUAAAAAUGAAGGAUAAAUGAAUUCAAUCCAUUUGAUCACGCUUUAUAAUAUUUGAAAUGUAAAUCUUGUAUGAAUUUAGCUAGAACUAGUAACUGCUAUCUCCAUUGCAGUAGAAGAAAAAUAGAAGAGAAAGAAUUUUCAAGUAAUCAUUUUCUUCAAUGAAUGCAAUGUACAGGGCAUCCAGAGGCGGAGCCAUCCCUCUUUAGGGAGUUCGUCCGAACCCCAUUCGAUGAAAAAAUAUACUGUUUAUACAUGAUAAUUUUUUUUUAUGUGGUUAUAGUAGUGGUUGAACCCCCUUCGAUUUAGUUUUCUUUGAAUAUUAAACCCCUUUACUUGAAAUUCUGACUCCGCCUCUGAGGACAUGUUGUGUGUAUAUAUACUUCUCUUAGCUGUGCAUCCAACUGUCAUUUACAACCUAUUCCACUAACAACUAACUGUAAUGUAACUAAUUGAGUUAACAGCUUAACACCUUCUAACUAACUACACAAUUCUUAGAACAGAUAUUUCAAUUAUUUCCCCUCAAGCUGGAGGGUGAAAUACAUCAAGAACUCCUAGAUUGGAUAAUAAGAAAUGAUGUUGAGAUAUUCCAAACCCUUUGAUAAGCAAGUCAGCAAGUUGAAACUUUGUUGAGAUGUACACAGGUUGUAUAAAUCCUUCUUUGAGUUUUUCUCAAAUGAAAUGACAAUCAAUCUCAAUAUGUUUUGUGCGUUCAUGAAACAUGGGAUUUGCUGCAAUUUGCAUAGCGGCCUUGCUAUCGCAAAACAGCUGCACAGGUGUCUUGACUUGAACAUUCAUAUCUUUCAGCAGUCCCACCAUCCAAAUAACCUCAGCUACUGCUGCUGCCAUGCUGCGAUAUUCAGCUUUUGCAGAACUUCGACUAACAGUAUGUUGUUUCUUCGACUUCCAUGACACUAAAGAUGAUCCCAACUAUUGUUGGGUUCAAAGUGUAUAUGUGAAUGGAAAAUGGAGGGAAAAUGGUGGAGGUAAAGAGAGACACCAAAAUAGAAAGUGUACUCUCAAAUUGGGAAGUUCACUAAUUUUUCCACAUUGGUGGGAGAAGGGAACUUUGGAGUGUUUUUAAUAAGGAACACUAACUUCACAUGGAUGGUGAGGCAAGAACAAGGUGGUGCCUCGCGCAGUCGUCGCUCGCUCGGCUCGGCUUCGGCUUUGGCUUCGGAUCGAUCAAUGAGAUCUAUCUUUUUAGACGAAUUUUAUUUGAAACUUGUGUUACAAGUGAAAAAAUUAAUCCAAAAAUCUGAUAUAAUUAUUUUUCUCCAAGUGUGGGCGCAAUUUUAACGCCAUGCAAAUGCAUACGCAACGCAUCACGAAGGGAUGCGACCUUUCGAGGUAAAAGGCACACUGUUUCGCGCUGUAGGGUGACCUGCGGGCGCAGAUGCAAUGCAGGUACGCGACCUGUGGGCGCAGACGUAGCACAUAAUCUACUGGAAAUUGUGAAAUGUCACCUGCGACCGUAGAUCAGGCGCAGGACCAACACAGACUGGGCGUAGGGACGUGACUACUACUGAAUAGGUGCAUCCUUUCUGAAAGGACACAUUUAAGGCUAUAAAUACCUGAUAUAUUCCUCAGGUAUAGACAUGAUUUUUGAAAGCAAAAACACUCUUCUUCUAUACAAAAACUCUGUGUGAUCAUUAAGUUGUUAAGUGAGUUCGAAGAAUCCAACAAUUUGAGGUACCGCUAUUGUUCGAAUUGAAAGCCAUUUAUCCUGGGAGGAAGAUUUCACAACUUCGGGUUCAGUGAGGAGAAUUAUUCCUUAAGGACACUCCGUGAAGUUGGAGGACUUGGCUUUACAUUUCUAUUUCAUCUCAUUUCUGAAAAAUAACAUACCUCUUGGAUAGAUUAUUCGUAAUCUUGUGUUGAGGGUGUUAAGGAACUUCAUAAGUGUUCUUGGCUUACACUUGAACUUGGGUUGAACUUGUUGUUGCAUAUAUAUACAGAUUCUUGUACCCAAAAAUAUUGAAAAUAACAAUCUUAAAGAAUAAUCUUUCAGAAUCUGUAUUGCUUGUUUUCUGGAGAUUAAAGUGUUAAGCUUUCUACUCCGUUUGAACUUAACUUGUGAUUUGAAGAUAUAAAAUCUUCAUCACAAGUUAAAGAUCACUCGAUUGACGAUUGGAAGUAAUAAAAACUUCAUCGUUAAACUAGAAACAAGAGGUAUUUAAAGUUGCUACAACUUUUUAAGAAGUAUUUCGAUAUACUAAAAGUACUGUCUUGUGGUGACAGGAAAAUAACGAUUGAUAGUCAGGUGCAUGAUGCGGGAACGAUUAUGGCGGCAACUAGUAUUGCCACGACGAGUCGUACUAAUACUCUGCAAGCUAUGGCACCAACGAAGAAACCUAAAAAGUUCGCAGGUAUUGACUUCAAGAGAUGGCAACAGAAAAUAUUUUUCUACCUCACAACUCUUUGUCUUCAAAGGUUCACGUUUGAGGAAGCUCCGGAGGUGCCCGAGGGAACCUCUGAACAAGAACGCUUCGUGAUUGUGGAGCUCGGAAACACUCAGAUUUCCUUUGCAAGAAUUGUAUCUUGAGUGGUCUCCAAGAUGACCUUUACAAUGUGUAUAGUGGAACAAAGACAACAAAAGAGUAUGAGGAGUGGUAGAACGAAAGUACAAGACAGAGGAUGCCGGAACUAAAAAGUUCUUCGUUACAAGAUUCCUAGAGAAUAAAAUGAUAGACAACAAGUCUGUUAUUUCUCAAGUGCAGGAACUCCAAGUAAUCAUCCAUGAUCUCCUUGCGGAAGGUAUGAUUUUGACAAAUGCCUUUGUUGAAAAUUUUAAAAAUGUUCUUAGUAUUCACAUGAACUUUAUUGUAGGUUUGAUUGUGAAUGAAGCGUUUCAAGUAGCAACAAUAAUAAAUAAACUACCACCUAUGUGGAAAGACCUCAAGAACUAUUUGAGACCCAAACGUAAGGAGAUGUCAGUCGAAGAUCUGAUUGUACGACUACGCAUUGAAGAAGAUAAUAAGACUGCGGAAAGAAGGUCAAGAUACAAUUCUGUAAUGAAUGGAGCAAACAUUGUAGAAGAUGACCAAAACAACUCUAAAAAGGGAAAGAAAGCUGAAAAUAAAAGCAAUCAACCCAAGAAGAAAUUCAAGGGAAAGUGCUUCAACUGUGGCAAGAUUGGCCACAAGUCUACAGAUUAUUGUGCCCCAAAGAAAGGGAAGAAGAAGGACCAAGAAAAUCUGGAUGAGUCUAAGAAAGAAAUGAAUGAUUUGUGUGCUAUGCUUUCUGAAUGCAACUUGGUUGGAAAUCCUUGCGAAUGGUGGGUGGAUUCUAGUGCCACCCGCCAUGUUUGUGCUAAUAAGGAGUUGUUUUCAACGUUCGCUCCAGCUCAAGUAUAAGAAAAGAUCUACAUAGCAAACUCCUCUACUGUAAAAGUAGAAGGAAUAGGAAAAACGUGCUUGAAGAUGACUUCCGAAAAAGUGUUGACACUUAACAAUGUCUUGUAUGCUCCGGAGUUACGAAAGAACUUAAUUUCUAUUUUACUUUUAGACAAAAAUGGAUUCAAAUGUGUAUUUAUUUUUGGAAAAAUUGUACUUAGUAAAGGAGAAGUGUAUGUAGGAAAAGGCUACCUAAAUGAGGGCCUAUUCAAAAUAAAUGUAAUUGUCACGACCCGAACCGCUGUCCUGGCCGUGAUGAGCAAUUCGAACCAUGAAGGCCCAAACGUUCAUCUAACUUGUAAUCACAUACACCAUUCAUAUACAGAAAAGAAAUGCAAAAAUAUAACUGAGUAUGGGAUCAUGGUCAUGCUCUGAAAUCAACAAAAUGUUAAGGACUGCAAUUCAACAACAUCUAAAAUAAUAUCUGACUCCGUCUGCGAAACCUCUACUACCUAUGAAACAAAGCUGUCUGAAAACUGGGACAAGGCCCCCAGUAGACUAAAACCAUAAAUAAAUGUCUGAAAUUAAACAGGCUUUCUGAAACAUAGAAGGCUCUGAACUCUGCACUUCUAUCUGGAAAGAUCUACUGCUUACCCGGACCGCUAGAUUGAGACUCAGACCCUGAGAGGUAGGGGGUCAAUACUGUUGUACUAGUACGCAGAGCAAACCCAAAAUAAUAUUUUAUAUUUAACAUAUAUGAGAGCAAUUUAAAACAGUUCAUAAAUAUAUCAUAUGGUAAGAAUUACAUGGGCAUAUUUAAAAGACUCUAUAAAAUCAUCUGAACUCUGUGACAUACUCUUGUUUUACUUUUGCGCUAGGUAGUAUACCCUACAAUUCUGUAAUUCCAUGGGCUAUAUGAAAUCUGCCCUUAACUCGACAGCCAAGCCCCCAACCCAAGUUUGCUGCAAGGGUCGGCGUCUCUGAAUCUAUACUACGCCACAGGGCCGUCGCCAGCGUACAAAAGUAACAUACCCGUAUCGGCAAAACACGAUUUUAGGCUAUGAGUCGAUUGACUCGUGCCCUCUUCGGGUAACCACCUAACCCUCUUUAAGCCCAUUUUUAAUUCUUUACUACAUGCAAUCUUUGAAAAUCAAACUCUGAAGACUCUAGUUCUGUUAUGGAAUAUAUUUAUAUGGUAUCAUCAUACUAUUGACUUGCAAGUCACAUUCUCUGAGCCAUUUAUAGAAAAUUAUGUCUCUAUUCUCAAAUCAUGGAAUUCAGGACCACCAUAUCAAUAAUUCUUUUCAAGAAACUCAUUCUUUAAAACUCAUGUGAAACCAUGCAAGCAAUCUCUUUAUCAACGAUUCAAUAAACAAAGGUGGUCAUGUCAAAAUUCUUAAUUUCAUGCAAAUUCUCUAUUUAACACAAAACAUAGAUAUCUCAAGAAACACCCUCCUAUCGCUAAAUCAUGUUCAAAUACUAUGACAUUGAGAAAACUACUUUCACAUUGCAAAACAUAUAUUUCAACUCCUUUCCGACAAAAUCAUAAACUUUAAUUCAAUACACGAGAGGGAAUUCAUAAUUUGUGCUCUCAAAUAAUCUUAAAUCUCAUUUUUAAUACAUAUACAUAUACAGGUAAAUUAAUUUAGGGAAAAAGACCACAAGGCCAAAGCAAUAGUAACAUUGAAACAUUCGGAAUACAUAAUUUAAAUAUAGAUUCCAAAACCCCUUUAAAAUUCAUGCUUAAUAAUCUUUAAAGCAUGCUCUAAUGUUUACAAGCCCAUGUAGUUUUUAGGAUAAACCCUACGUACCUAAGACUAUAAGAGUUGAAAUAUGGAACCUAGAUCUUGAUAGAUGGAACCCGGAUCUUGACCCUUUUCUUGGAAUCUUGAACUUAAGAUCUUGAUUCUUGAUCUUAAGGGAAAUGAUUUGGGGUUUUAAUUUGGGAGGACAAAUUGAAUUAUGGAGUGUAUUCUACUUUUGGGGCGUGAAUCUUAUGUUAUGGACAGACCUUGGGUGAGGUAAAGGUCCAAAUUGCCCUUAAAAAUGCGAAAAUAGAACCUGAAAAUUAGGAGCGUUCGUCGCACGCUAAUCGCACGCAGCUACUGUCUCUCUCACGAAAAUGGCUGUAACUUUUUGCUCGGGUAUCAAAUUUUGGUGAAGUUAGUAUCGUUGAAAAGAUACUCCAAAGACCUUUCAUUUGAUAUAUAGUAGGCCCUUUAAUUUGAUAUAUACAAGAAGUUAUGGUCGAUGGAAAUUGACCCAAGUUUAAACGUCCACUGAAACUUAAUCGCUAGAAAUGUUUUCAACUCGUCUUCUAGUUAGGGGAUUUUUUUGUGACCUCAAUUCAUAUUCAAAGGUACUCCCACACUAUAGGAUUGAUAACCACACAUAAAUUAAUAAGAAAUUAUCUAGUUUGGGUCUAUACGCAUAGGAACGACGAUCUAGAUUCUAGCCCGAAAGUACGGGGUGUUACAGUAAUGAAUGUUGAAAUCAAUAAAAGUUCAAUUUCUUCUUACUUGCUUGAGUCUUACGAUUUGUGGCAUGAACAAUUAGGCCAUGUUAAUUACAAAACAUUAUGAAAACUUAUUAACUUAGAAGUUUUGCCAAACUUUGAGUGCAAUAAAUCAAAGUGUCAAACUUGUGUGGAAUCAAAGUAUGCUAAGCAUUCGUAUAAGUCCGUUGAAAGGAAUUCCAAUCUCUUAGACUUAAUCCACACUGACAUUAGUGAUAUGAAGUCAACACCAUCACGUGGUGGGAAAAAGUAUUUCAUACCUUUUAUUGACGCUUGCACUAGAUAUUGUUAUGUAUACUUGCUAAAUAGUAAGGAUGAAACAUAGAUGCAUUUAGGCAAUACAAAACUGAAGUUGAACAUCAGUUAGAGAAAGAAGAUAAAAAAAAUAAGAAGUGAUAGAAGCGGAAAAUAUAAAUCUGCCUUCACUGAAAUAUGUGUAGAGAAUGGAAUUGUCCAUCAAAAUACGACCCCAUAUUCACCUUAAUCUAAUGGAAUUGCGGAAAGAAAAAAUCAAACUUUAAAGGAAAUGAUGAAUGCCUUAUAAGUUCAGGUUUAUCGCAAAGCUUGUGGGGGGAGGCUAUCCUUACAACCAACCGAAUACUCAAUAGAGUUUCCCAUAGUAAGAUACAAUCAAUUCCAUAUGAAAAAUGGAAAGAAAGGAAACCCAACUUAAAAUACUUCAAAGUGUGGGGGUGUCUAGCGAAGGUCCAAGGUCCUAUGCCAAAAUAGGUUAAGAUAGGACCUAAGAAGGUGGACUGCGUGUUUAUAGGAUAUGCUAAAAGUAGUAAAGCAUGUCGGUUUUUGGUUCAUAAAUCCAAACAUCCAGAUAUUAAUAAAAAUAUGAUAAUUGAAUCAGAUAAUGCUGAAUUCUUUGAAAUAUUUAUCCGUAUAAAACUAGGCAUGAACAGUCUAGUGGUGUUCUAAACGACCUCAAGAUGAACCAAGUGAGAAUAUACAUAAUGAUGAGAAUCCAAGACGUAGAACACGUUAAAGAACGUCAAAUUUGUUUGGAUCAGAAUUUGUAAUAUUUCUCUUAGAAAAUGAGUCUCCAAUAUUUAAGGAAGCGAUGCCGUCUUUGAACUCAUCCUUUUGUAAAGAGGCAGUCGAUAGUGAGAUUGAUUCGAUCUUAAGCAACCAUACGUGGAAGUUCAUUAAUCUUCCUCCAGGAAACAAACCUUUAGGUUCUAAAUAGAUCUUCAAAAGAAAAAUAAAAGUGAAUGGUGCUAUUGACAAAUACAAGGUGAGACUUGUAGUAAAAGGCUUCAAACAGAAAGAAAACCUUGAUUACUUUGAUACAUACUCGCUAGUAACAAGGAUAACAUUGAUUCAAAUGUUAAUUGCCUUGGCGGUGGUAUAUGGUCUUGAAAUCCAUCAAAUGGAUGUGAAAACUGUAUUCCUAAAUGGAAAAUUGGGGGAAGAAAUUUACAUGGAACAGCCUGAGGAUUUUGUUAUUCCAAGAAAAGAAAAUAAGGUGUGUAAACUUGUUAAGUCACUUUAUGAACUAAAACAAGUACCUAAACAAUGGCAUGCAAAGUUUGACCAAACUAUGUUGGCAAACGGGUUCAAGAUUAAUGAAAGUGAUAAAUGUGUUUAUAUUAAAGACACUCCAAAUUACCAAGUCAUUGUUUGUUUAUAUGUGGAUGAUAUGUUGAUCAUUAGUUGAGACAUUUCUGACAUAAAUGCAAUGAAACGAAUGCUCGAGAGCAAGUUCGAUAUAAAAGACCUUGAAGUUGCAGAUGUGAUCUUAGGAAUAAAAAUUCAUAAAACUCCACAAAGGUUGACAUUGUCACAGUCUUAUUACAUCGAAAAGGUACUUGACAAAUUCAAGUAUAUGAAAUUUGGUAUUGCCAAGACUCCAUUGGAUGUGAGCUUUGUACUUCGAAAGAAUGAAGGUGAAAGUGACUCACAAUCGGAGUACGCAAGGGAUUGGGAUGUUUAAUGUAUAUAAUGAACUGUACAUGAUCAGACAUAGCAUGCGCUAUAAGUAAGUUGAGUAGGUAUACGAGUAACCCCAACAAAACUCAUUGGAUGGCAAUGAAAAGAGUUUUAGGGUAUCUUAAAUACACUCAAAACUAUGUUUGCAUUAUAAUAAAUAUCCCAUGGUACUUGAAGGAUAUAGUGAUGCAAAUUGAAUCACCAGAUCGAAUGAAGUAAAAUCCACAUAUGAAUAUGUAUUUACUAUCGGUGAAGGAUCGGUCUCUUGGAAAUCAUCCAAACAGACAUGUAUUGCUCACUCUACAACGAAAUUUGAAUUUAUCGCAUUGGAUAAAGUUGGUGAAGAAGCAGAAUGGCUUCGGAAUUUCUUGAAAGAUAUUCCUUAUUGGCCCAAAUCAAUGGCACUACUAUGUAUACACUGUGAUAGCCAAGCGAUAAUAGGUAGGGCAGGGAGCAUGAUGUAUAAUGGUAAAUCUCAUCACUUAAGACGGAGACAUAAUACCAUUAGAGAACUUCUUUUUAGUGGAAUUAUCACUGUUGACUAUGUGAAGUCAAAGGAUAAUGUGUCAGAUCCACUUACAAAAGGCCUAUCUAGAGAAGGAGUUGAGAGGACAUCCAAAGGAAUGGGUUUAAGACCUAGGACAAGUCAGCAUGGUGGUGACUCUACCUAGCAGACUGGAUAUCCCAAGAGCUAAGUUCAAAGAGAUCAAACAAAGUUGUGUCUGCCAGGUUCAACAUUGUCAAUUACCCAAUCUAUUCUCAUGAUGUAGACAAUGUGUAGUAAACAAGGAUAAGACUUAAGGUGAAAAGUCUUUUAAUGAUUAUCUAAAUUUGGCAGAUUUGACCAAAUAGUUUAGUCUACAGGAUUGAACGUUUAGAAAUCACCUAUGAGAGGGAGAAGUGGAAGCCGCUUCAAGGAGAAUGUUAGUAAAGGCCUAUUCUCUAAGCUCUCAUGAAACCAAGACGUGUUUGUGGCUGAAAAGAACAAAGCAGUGAGAACCAUAAAUAGUAAAAGACUAGUUGUGUGACAUGUGUUGUAUAGGUGUACAUCAAAGCUCGAUGGUUCAAAUAUAUCAAAUCUACCAAUUGAUUGAGUGCAUCCGAUGCAUGUUCACUACGAAAAGUUCAAAGGUAAACCUACUUAUCCAGAUGCAAUCAGUCUUUGUUAAAUGAUCAUAUGAUUGUCUGUAUCUUUCUUCAAAAGAUAGCCAUUCCCCAUUAAUGUGGGGGAUUGUUGGGUUCAAGGUGUAUAUAUGAAUGGAAAAUUGAGGGAAAAUGGUGGAGGAAAAGAGAGACACCAAAUUAGAAAGUGUAUUCUCAAAUUGGAAAGUUCAUUAGUUCUCCUAUAUUGGUGGGAGAAGGAAAAUUUGGAGUAUUUUUAAUAAGGAACACUAACUCAACAUGAAUAGUAAGGCAAGAACAAUGUAGUGCCUCGCGCUGUCGUUGUCGCUUGCUCGGCUCGGCUUCGGCUUUGGCUUUGGAUUUGGAUUUGGAUUUGGAAAAUGAUCGAUCAAUGAGAUCUAUCUUUUUAGUUGAAUUUUAUUUGAUACUUGUGUUAUAAGUAAAAAACUUAAUCCCAAAAUCUGAUAUAAUUAUUUUUCUCCAAGUGCGGGUGCAAUUUUGACGCCUAAAAGGCACACUGUUUCACGCUGUAGGGUGACUUGCGGGCGCAGAUGCAAUGCAGGUACGCGACCUGUGGGUUCAUACGUAGCACAGAAGCUACUGGAAAUUACAAAAUGUCACCUACGACCACAGAUCAGGCGUAGGUCCAGCAUAGACUAGGCGUAGGGACGUGACUACUACUGAAUCUGAAUCUUUACAUUUAAGAUUAUAAAUACCUGAUAUAUUCCUCAGGUAUAGACAUAAUUUUUGAAAGAAAAAACACUCUUCUUCUAUACAAAAACUCUGUGUGAUCAUUAAGCUGUUGAGUGAGUUCAAAGAAUCCGACAAUUUGAGGUACCGCUAUUGUUCGAAUUGAAAGCCAUUUAUCCUGGGAGGAAGAUUUCACAACCUCGGGUAUAGUGAAGGAAAUUAUUAUUUAAGGACACUCCGUGAAGUCGGAGGAUUUAGCCUUACAUUUCUAUUUCAUCUCAUUUCUAAAAAAUAACAUACCUCUUGGAUAAAUUAUUCAUAAUCUUGUAUUGAGGGUAUUAAGGAACUUUAUAAGUGUUCUUGUCUUAGACUUGAAUUUGGAUUAAAAUUAUUGUUGCAUAUAUAUAUAUAUAUAUAUAUUUUGGUACCCGAAAACAUUGAAAAUAACAACCGCAAGACAAAAUCAGUAAUUGACCUUUUAGUAUCAGGGCACACAGCCCAAUCAGAAUCACAAUGGACUGUCAUCUAUGUUAUACGGCUUGACUUCAUAAAAACACCUAAUCCAAGUGAUCUUUUGACAUAUUUUACCACUCUCAAUGCAGCAAUUCAAUGAGAAAGUUUAGAUUGCUGCAUAAACUGACUAAGUAAUUGUACAGCAAAGCAAAUGUCAGGUUUGGUGAUGGUCAAAUAAAUCAGCUUCCUUACUAAUCUUUGAUAUGAGUUGACAUCAUCAAAUAAUGGAUUAUCAGAAUUUCCACUAAGAUUGUCAUAUUCUGCAGAAGUGUGCUUGACAUUAGCUUCUAAAGGAGUGAAAAUAGGUUCAGCACCACUCAUCCCUGUUUCAGAAAUAAGCUCCAUUGUAUAUUUUCUUUGGUUGAGAAGUAUGCCAUGUUAAGACCUCAUUACUUCACUUCCUAAGAAGUAUCUCAACUCACCCAAAUCCUUGACCUUAAACUGGCAAUGCAAAUAUUUCUUUGCAUUAGAAAUAAGAUUUGUAUUACUUCCUGUAAGCAGUAUAUCAUCCACAUAGAUAAGAAGCACUACAAUAUCAUCUCCAUGCUGCUUGGUGAAUAAAGAAUGGUCAUGAGAAAUUUGUGUAUAACCAACAUUCAACAAAGCAGUGGUCAACUUAAUGUUCCACUGCCUUGAGGCUUGUUUAAGUCCAUAUAAGGAUUUCAGAAGCUUGCACAUUCUGGUUUCCCCCUUCUUGUGAAAACCUUGGGGAAGUUUCAUAUAUACUUCCUCAUAAAUAUCUUCAUGAAGAAAAGCAUUACUAACAUCCAUUUGAUAAAGAUCCCAAUUUUCGGAAGCUGUUACACCAAUUAUAGUCCUGACAGUUCCCAUUUUGGCCACUAGAGAAAAGGUUUUAUAAUAAUCCAAACCUUAUCUCUGAGUUUAAACUUUGGCUACCAACCUUACUUUGUACUUAUCUAUGUCACCAUUUGCUUUAACCUUUACUUUAUAUAUUCAUUUUGAUCCUAUAGGCUGCUUGCCAGGAUUAAAUGCACCAGUUCCCAAGUCUGAUUUUCCUCUAAAACAGUGAGUUAUUGUUGCAUUGCUUCAAUCCACUUUGCAUAUUGAGAUGCCUCUUGAAAGGACCUGGGUUCUUGAAUAGCUGAAAAAGAGCUCAGAUAAGACUGAUAGGUGCAGGACAAAUGAGAAUAUGUUACAUAAUCACUGAUGGGAUAAGAGCAAGAAACCGUUGGUGGUUUGAUAGAAGUAACAUAGUCAUUAAGACAUCCUGGUGGUUUAAUAUUCCUAAUAGGCCUGCUCGAUUGCACAGGAGUAGGAUGAGCAACCACAAUUUUCUUUUUCAUAUCAUGUAGAAGAGGAACAUGUGUAAGUACAUGUUUCUCCUGCAUUAUUUCUUGUACAUCUUUAGCAGGUGGUGUAUUUGUUUGGUGAAUAACACAGUCAACAUCUGUAACUAAAGCUGGAGGAUCAUCUUGAUCAAGAAUGAGUGAUUGCAAAAUGGGAGCAUUAUUUGGCUCUAUAGGAACUGAAUGAGUAGGUGGAAAACUGAACAUGUCAUCAGCAUUACUGUAUUCUUGAAAGGGAACACUAUUUCUCUAAAAGUUAUAUCCUUACUAACAAAUAUAACUCCAGAAUUGAGUUCAUAUAGCCUGUACCCCUUUUGUGUCUCUGAAUAACCUAUAAGAAUAACCUUCUUUUCUCUUUCCUGAAAUCUAUCACCUCUAGGAAAAACACUAGCAUAACAAAGACAUCCAAACACUCUGAGGUGGCCUAUCUUAGGAACUUUGUAAAGCAGUAGUUCAUAUGGGGAUUUACCUUUUAAUACACUGGAUGGUAACUUAUUAAUAAGGUACACUGCAGUUCUUACAUAAUCUCCCCAAAAUUUAGUUGGAAUACCAGUUUGGAACUUCAAGAAUAUAUUUAUGCUUCCUCUUAACAGUCAUAUUCUGUUGAGGUGUAUAAGCACAACUUGUUUGAUGAAUUAUACCAUGAACAAUAAAUAUAUCUCUGCACUUAGAAUUAACAAAUUCUGUACCAUUAUCAGACCUUUAAACUUUAACACAAAUACCAAACUGAGUCUUUAUUAAGGACAGAAAGCCUUUCAAUACAGUAAACACCUCACACUUUGAUUAAAUCAAACAAAUCCAUGUAUACCUGCUAUAAUCAUCUACCAGUGUUACAAAAGAGCCUUUUUUGUCAUGUGUAGGCUUCUUAUAUGGUCCCCAGACAUCUGAAUGUACUAGCUCAAAUGGAGCAACAGACUUACUAGUACUAGUAGGAAAAAACAACCUGUGAUGUUUUGCUAAAGGACAUAUAUCACAGCUAUCAUGUAUCUUAAUGUCCACUUUCUUAGGUAAAGACUCCAUAUGUUGCAUAGCUCCUCUAGAAGGAUGGCCUAAUCUAUAGUGCCGCAGUGUAUCCUCUUCGUGAAGUGAAGUAGUCAUGAAUGUUUCUGCUGUAGUUUUGAAAGAUGUGAAGCAAUAUCUUAAGAUAUAUAACAUUUCCCGCUCUUUACCAAUCCCCAAUACCUUGCUAUUGGAGAGAGCCUGAAAGAUACAAAAAUUAGGGAAAAAAUGACAGCACAAGAUAAUUCUCUUAUUAUUUUUGACACUAAGAGAAAGCUGAACUUACAGGUUGGAACAUGUAAUACAUUUUCCAAUGUAUAUUCUCCUAGAAUUUUAGCUUUUCCUUCAUGAGUGAUACCAGUUGUUCCUUCUGUAGGGAUCUGAACUUUGGCAUUUGAGCUAUUUUCCAGUCUUUGAAGAGAGCUUAAUAGAUCUUCAUAAGGACUAAUGUGAUGUGUAGAGCCCGAUUCUAUUAUCCAUUCACAUGAAAAAGUAGUGGAUAACAAACAAUUGAUACCUGCUAGAUUUAAAGUAUGAGUUUGAGCAUGAGAUUGAGUUUUAUCUCUAUUCAUCAUUCCUAUCAAUUGCUUAUAUUGUUGAUCUGUAAAGAAAUAUGGCAUAGGAGAUAUAGAAGGAACGCUUUCUUCAUCAGUGGUGGUGGAGUAGGCCUGAGGUCUAUAUCCUCUUCCUCAUGUUGGAUGUCUAUAACCUGGAUACCUUGUAACACCUGUAGGUCUAGGCGCAUUAGAAUGAGGUCUGAAGUUAUUUUGGGGCUUGUAACCAGCAGGAUUUCCUAUUCCCUGUGACUGGGGGAAGUUUUGUUGUUUGGAACCUGAUGUUUGAUCUCCCUGAAACCCUGGCCUUUUUAUAUGGAAAUCUGGAGGAUAGCUUACUAAUCGAUAACAAUCUUCCAUAACAUGAUUUCUACACCCACAAUACAAAUCUGUCCUUUUUGUUGCAGAAGCUGAAUCAAAUGAUUUAGGCUGAGGUUUGCCUUGUGUUCUUCCUGCUAGUAAAGAUAAAGUUUCCUUGUGUUCUUCUGUCACACCCAAGCUCCUUUGACUUUCUUUUUGAGUGACAAUUGCAUAAUCUUCAUUCACACUAAUAAUAGGUGUAACACCAAGUAUUUCGGACUAGAACCUCCCGUCCGAUCCAUUCCACUCGUCCGUCUAAGUAUAGCCAAAAAAGAAAAAUCAUCAUUUCUAUGCGUAGAUGAUCCAAAAGAAAUAAAUCCUAUGCAAAUAUGGCAUGUUAAUCAUUUUAGUAGUGUGGGAAAUUGAAUGAGUAUUCCGUCGACAUAAGAUUCAUCCAAAACGGACACUCGGUGAAGGAGUUAUGGUUAAUUUAAGUCCUAGUCAUAAAACACCAUCACUCCUGUCCUUGGCGCAUCACGGAGAGGGUUUAAUGACGAUGGUCAGUUUCCAGUGAGACUCUGCGAAGGUGGCGCAUCGCGGAGUGGGCCAAAUUCCCAUUCGUCAAUUUUCAGUGGGCCACUGCGAUAGUGGCGCGUUGCGGUGGCCCAUAAGAUCAGGUUCCAAGUUUAAAAUUUUUCAAUUUCGUUCAGAAGUUGACAAGGGUAGUUUGGAUUUUUUUUUUCAAGUCUCUUAAAACGUCCAAACAGGAGAUUUAGACCUCUACAAGCAUAAUACACGACAUUCUCAAGAUUUUCCUCAAAUCUUAGGCUUUAAGGAUCAACCAUUAUUCUUCAUAAUCGAGGUACGCGGGGUUUUCCUAAAAUCUCGUGGGUAUAGAAAUCAUGAUUUUAAAAAAGGGGUUUUUGAAUUUAUGAAUACAUUCAUGUUUUAGAAGCUUCGAUAAUAUUGUUUUGGUCUUUAGGCCUUCCCCCAAAUUGAUUUGAAUUGUAUAUAUGUACGUAUGCAUUGAAAACCAAGAAUUGUGAAUUGACAGCAUGGAAUAUAUAAUCUCUCUCUCCCAUUACUUUAUUAUUUGAUUUACAAGUUAUGAAUCAUUACAUUUUAUGGUUUACAGAAUGAUUCAAGAUACUAUUUGUCUUAUGUGAAAUUCAUGAUGAUUAAGAAUGGGAGAGAGAAAUAUUUUAAUGAUUUUAAGUGUUGAGAUUGAUAAACAAAGAAACUUCAGGAAUGUUUUUGAGAAGUUGGCCACUACUUAUUGAAAUUGUUGAAUGAAUGGAAAGCCUUUGCAUGAUUUUUGACUUAUGAUUUGGGAUAUGACUCUUCUUACACUAUAUGGAUGAUCAAGUGGCCUGAACAUUAUUUUAGAAUAAAAUAAUCAUAUAUGGCUCAGAAUAACGACUUGCAAGUCUUGGUAUGACGAUACCAACUCAGAAAAUGCCAUAAUAGAGACAGACUAAUACAGAAAUCAGACUUUCGUGUUUUAAAAUUUCAGAAUAAUGCAUGUUCAGAAAAAGGAUAAAAUAGGGCAUAAAGAGAUGUUAGGUGGUUCCCUGAAGAGGGAACGAGUUCAGAUAACUCAUUGCCCAAAAUUGUGAUUUACCAAUACGGGUAUAUUAUAUUACGCUGGCCUAGUGCCGUAUGGCAUAUCAGAAUCAGAGACUCCAACCUUUACGGCAUACUUGGGUUGGGGGCUUCCCCGCUGAGUCAAUGACGGAUUUCAUAUAACCCGUGGAAUAUCAGAGUUGUAGGGAAGUGCCACCUAACUCAGAAGUAAUACAAAGAAUAGACAGUGCAUUGACAAGAAUGACUUAUGAUUUUCAGAAAGUGCCCAUGUGUUUUGGGAACUGUUUAUGCAUGAUGUUUUAACAAAUUGCUCUCCACUAUUUUACUUAUAUAAAAGUUUUAUUUUGGACUACUUUGCAUACCAGUACAUCUGUAUUGACCCUCUCUCUUUUCUCCAGGUUCUGAGGCUCAGUCUAGGGGUCUAGAAAAGCGAUAGAUUUUAUCAGACAGAGUUGCAGUGUUCAGUUGGUGAGCCUUUUUUAUUCCAGAAGGCCUAUUUACUUUCAGACAACUAUUAUUAGAUAUGGUUUUGGUCUACGGGGGCCUUGUCCCAGUUUUCAGAACAGUUUUGAGAUGUAGUAGAGAUUUUGCAGACUGAGUCAGAUCUGAUUCAGAUGUUUUGAAUUGUAACUUUCAUUCUCAUGUCUUGAAACUCAGAGUUAAUGACCAUGUUUUCGUAUCAGAUUAUAUUUCCAUAUUUUCUUUUAUGAUAUGAAUGUUGUGCAUGAUUACUAGAUCAGAUAGAGUAGGACGUCCGGACCUUUAUGGUUCAGGAUGUCCGUCACGAUCAGGACCUAGUUCAGGUCGUGACAAACUUGGUAUCAGAGCAUGGUUCAUGGUUCCAGGGUGUCUGCAAAAUCGCGUCGGGUAGAGUCUUAUUUAUGAGUGUGUAGCGCGCUACACUUAUAAGCAGGAGGCAACAAAGUGUUUAGAAAUGUCUCUUUUUCUUCAUGUUCUAGUUCGUGCAAUAGAGUCAGAAUGUUCCCCUUUCAUACUCUAAUUCGUGCUAUGGUGUCGCUCAUACGAAAGUAACAGUCAUCCUAAUUCUUUUCUUACUAUGAUAUUCUCAAACAUGUCUCAUUAUUGGGGUGAUUCAAGUACAGAAGUUUAGAGUCUAAAUGACAUGGUUCUUUAUGAUUGAUCCAUAUAUGAUUUUGAAAUUGUGCAAGGAUUUGUGAAGAGUCCUUUAGUGCCUCAGAGUGUAUUCUAGUGUGAACUUUAAUUUUGAUGAAAUCGUGCUUUUCAGCCUGCGGUAUUGAGUGUAGUAAGUCUUUUUCAGAAUUUAUGUUGCCGACAUCACGCUUAAGGGGGAUGAUGAGAAGCAGAAUGUUGGAACUGUAUUUCUACCCGAGUAGUAGUAUAAGUUAAGUGUCGGUGUCAUGAACUAUUGGUAGUGAUGUUGGACCAAGAAGUUGGUGAUGUGAAGUCACAAAGUUAGAAGUUAGAGUGAGGGUGCCUUUUGUGUAAAUAAAUAUUUUAGUUGAAUAACCAAAGUUUGAGGAUGAUAUACCCCUUUUUAGUGAUAAACUAAUGUGGUAACUAGUAGCAUGUGUGGAUUGUAUGGUAGUCUGUAGGGGAAAUGUUUGGCUCAGAUUUUUUUUAUUUAUACAGAGUAAGAUAUGUAUCCUUAGAUCAUUGAUUAUUGUAUGUCAAGUUUUUGUCUUUUGUAAUCUUAUUAUCAUUAUAAUGUUGAAACUCAAAGUCUAGUGAAGCCGUGUGAGGCCUAUUUUAAUUCACUAGCAACUUAUUGUCCAUUUUGAUGGUUCUUGUGUUGGAUGGAACUGGGGGUUUAGAGGCGCAAUGGCAAGAAAAGUGGUAAGGGCGAUUUAGUGAAUAUAUGUAUAGCCGACUCUUUUGGCAUGAGAUUGAGUUGGUAUUAAAGUGAUACGUCCUUGUGUGUUAGUUUAGUAGAAGGUAGAAUAAGUUAUUAGCUAAGGUGACUUGUUGUUUGCUCGAAGUAUGAAAAUGGCUAGAUUAGCCAGGAAGUUAUAAUUAUAGACACAAGGUUGUUUGUGGAAUUUGAAGGUAGUCUAAAUGUACGCUUGGGUAAGUAAGUGUGAUGUGAGAAAGCCGUAUAAGUAGAUAAGAUUGUAUGAGGUUAUAAUAUAAGAUUAAGGUUGGCCAUGUCUAUUAUGUGACUCUACCCCCUUGACUUUCUUUUCUUUCGUAGUUGUAGACUAGUACUACUUGUUAGAAGGUAUGUAGUAGAUUUUGAGGCAUAACAGUGAUGUCAUGAAGGUGGAUGUGAUUAUUUCUUGGUUAAUGAUACUAGUUUUAUGGAAUCGAUCUAAUAGGCUUGAACAGUGCAUGCAAGAGCUUAAGUUUAUUUGGUUCGUAAUGAAGUAUGAUGUUGUAUGUAUGAAGUAGAACUAUGCCAAAGUGAUAUGAGGUGCAAUAUUUUUUCUAAGGCUAUUACAUGUUGUGUGAGGCUAGUGGUGCCAUUGAGUUGCUAGGUGGAUAAAGACUACUUAAAUGGUAUAUGAUGUUCUAAAUAGCCAAGUUAAGGAGUUUUGAUAGAUAAUGUUAAGCCUUUUGAUAUGAUCUUGAUUCUCAUAGUAGAAAGAUAUAAGUUUGGAGUCGCGAUGCUGGUAAACUAUGACAAAAGUGGUAUGGUCCAACAAGGGUUUGGAGAUAUCCAUGUUUAGUGUUAGAAGAAUCUGAGUUGGUGAAUGUUUAAGCUGUUAUAUGAUGACUUUUGGGGAUAUAGAAACCUAAGGGUUGAAUCUUAGAAGUAGUUAUUAGUAUUGGUUGUUAUACAUGAAGAUACCGUCUUACAGGGUAAGUUUAAUUUUAUGUGUAUUGGUAUAUCCCCGACUCUAGAGUAAAGUAAUUUAAGUUUAUACCAGAGAGUAUCUAGUAGUUCACAGACUUAGUGUAGUGUCUUAAAUCUAAGGGGGAGAUGAUAGAACGAGUAACCAAGUCAAGUUUUCAGAUGAUAAUAGAUGCGCCAGUAAGUUGUGGAAUUGGCCGUGAAAAAGAAUGAUGCUCAAUCUAUUCUUAUUUCAGCAGUUUACUUAAGUUAUUCCGAUACAUACUCAUGCUUAAUGUUUCAGCUUCAUGAUAAUAGUUCGUGUUCAUGUAUAUGAUAAAGAAUUAUGUACUCUCCUAGUUCCUAGUAUGAUGAGUUCUCAAUUUGUCCAGUAGUCAGAAUCACUUUCCGUAAGUUAUGAAUUCCAAAAAAAAAAAAUUUAGGUCAUGUAGUUCAUGACUCUUGUGCACAUGUGAUACUCUUAAUGAUCAGUGAAAAUUCAGAUUUUAUAUCAGGUACGUCCUCAGAUUAGAUCUCUUUAAUGAGUCCAUUUCGUGAGUGCUCUAUUCCUCAUGCCUCCGUAGGGUAUCAAGUUACGUUUAGUAAUCCCCUCAUGUAUCGGAUUCCGGUAUUCCAAUUUUUCAGUGACCUUUUCCUUUAGGCUGAGAUAGUGAUGAUGAACAGUUGUUUAGAUGGGAAAGAGGAANNNNNNNNNNNNNNNNNNNNNNNNNNNNNNNNNNNNNNNNNNNNNNNNNNNNNNNNNNNNNNNNNNNNNNNNNNNNNNNNNNNNNNNNAUGUCAAGGUUAGUUGAAGUUUUAUGUGUUAUAUUUGGAAAAAAUUAUUGUGUGCUUGUUUUAUGUAAGUCUAUAAGUUGAAAGAAUUUUGGGGUGAAGUUUCGUGUAUGGCUUGGUUAGUUAAGGAUAUUUUAUGUGUACCAUCUGAAUAGUGCAUAGAAGUUGUUGUGGAUAGAAGUAUUAGAGAAUAUGAGAAAGAUGAUUUAUGAGUGUUUGUUUAGAGGUACAUAUGUGGGUAUGAAGAUAGACUUGAAUGUCAUGUUUGUAUACAUACGAAUAGAUGCUUUGAGUGUUUGUGAAUGUCUAAUGCAAAGUUGAAGGUGAUUGCUGGAGUGGCAAUAAGAAUUAUGCAUGAGAUGAGGAAUUGUGAAAUGCAGGGUGUACUGAAUUCACAGUUCAAACUAGUACUACAGUAUUAUGUGAUGCGUCUUUUGAUUUUGAGUUAGGCUUGAAGAUGGUGAGGGGAUUUAGUUCAGUUUAGACAUUAGUAGAUGGAAAUAUCAGCGGCCAUGUGAGAAAAAUAAGUGAAAUCAAUGAGCAUGGGCUUUAAGGGGAAAGUAUAGUUGAGAGAGAGUUUUUAAACUCUUACUCAGUUCAUAAGAGUUCAACACAUAAUCUCAAAUUUUUUCAGCUAUUUUAGCUCAGACAGUGUAAUAUCUUUGUACGAUCUAAAUCUUGUUGCCUCAUGAUUCGUACUUACCUAAGUUAUCNNNNNNNNNNNNNNNNNNNNNNNNNNNNNNNNNNNNNNNNNNNNNNNNNNNNNNNNNNNNNNNAAAUCCUAAACUCUCAGCAUGAAUCAGCUCCUUAAAACAAGUAAGGGCAAGUCAGCUCAAAAUUCAGUUUCAUGAUAAAAGUUUAAAUGUUUCAGAUCAGUUAUAUCCUUUCUUAGAAGACACAUCAGGUCAGCGUUAUUCCAUUUCUUUAAGUUUCAAUGUUCCUACCCAUCAUUCAGGGACGAAUGAUCCCAAGGGGGAGAUAAUGUAACACCCUGCAUUUCGGGCUAGAACAAAAACCAUCAUUUCUAUGCGUAGAUGAUCCAAAAGCAAUAAAUCCUAUGAAAAUAAUAUGGCAUGUUAAUCAUUUUAGUAGUGUGGGAAAUUGAAUGAGUUUUCCGUCGACAUAAGAUUCGUCCAAAACGGACACUCGGUGAAGGAGUUAUGGUUAAUUUAAGUCCUAGUCGUAAAACACCAUCAUUCCUGUCCUUGGCGCAUCGCAGAGAGGGUUUAAAUGAUGAUGGUCAAUUUCCAGUGAGACUCCGCGAUGGUGGCACAUCGCAGAGUGGGCCAAAUUCUGAUUCGUCGAUUUCCAGUGAGCCACCGCAAUUGUGGCACGUCGCGGUGGCCCAUAAGAUCGGGUUCCCAGUUUAAAGUUUUCCAAUUUCGUUCAGAAGUUAACAAGGAUAGUUUGGACUUUUUUCAAGUCUCUUAAAACAUUCAAACAGGAUAUUUAGACCUCUACAAGCAUAAUAUACGACAUUCUCAAGAUUUCCCUCAAAACAAAAACCCUAGUUCAUAUAUUUCUCCAAGAAACUCAAGAUUCAACCGUGGGUUUUCAAAAUUGAUCGAAGAUAUGGAAACCCCAAACCGUAGGCUUCAAGGAUCAACCAUUAUUCUUCAUAAUCAAAGUACGCGAGUUUUUUCUAAAAUGUCAUGGGUAUAGAAAUCAUGAUUUUAAGAAAGAGGUUUUUGAUAAUACAUUCAUGUUUUAGAAGCUUCGAUAAUAUUGUUUUGGUCUUUAGGCCUUCCCUCAAAUUGAUUUGAAUUAUCUAUAUGUACGUAUGCAUUGAAAAUCGUGGAUUGUAAAUCAAGAGCAUGAAAUAUAUAAUCUCUCUCUCCCAUUACUUUAUUAUUUAAUUUAUAAGUUAUGAAUCCUUACAUUUUGUGGUUUACAGAAUGAUUCAAGAUACUAUUUGUCUUAUGUGAAAUUCAUGAUAAUUAAGAAUGGGAGAGAGGAAUGCUUUAAUGGUUUUAAGUGUUGAGAUUGAUAAACAAAGAAACUUCAGGAAUGUUUUUGAGAAGUUGGCCACUACUUAUUGAAAUUGUUGAAUGAAUGGAAAGCCUUUGCAUGAUUUUUGACUUAUGAUUUGAGAUAUGACUCUUCUUACACUAUAUGCAUGAUCAAGUGGCCUGAACAUUGUUUUAGAAUAAAAUAAUCAUAUAUGGCUCAGAAUAACGACUUGCAAGUCUUGGUAUGACGAUACCAACUCAGACAAUGCCAUAACAGAGAUAGACUAAUACAGAAAUCAGACUUUUGUGUUUUAAACUUUCAGAAUGAUGCAUGUUCAGAAAAGGCUAAAAUAGGGCAUAAAAAUAUGCUAGGUGGUUCCCUGAAGAGGGUACGAGUUCAAAUAACUCAUUUUCCAAAACCGUAAUUUGCCGAUUCGGGUAUAUUAUAUUACGCUGGCCUAGUGUCAUAUGACGCAUCAGAAUCAGAGACUCCAACCCUUGCGGCAUACUUGGGUUGGAGGCUUCCCCGCCGAGUCAAUGGCGGAUUUCAUAUAGCCCGUGAAAUAUCAGAGUUGUAAGGGAGUGCCACCUAACUCAGAAGUAAUACAAAGAACAAAAAGUACAUUGACAAGAAUGACUUAUGAUUUUCAGCAAGUGCCCAUGUGUUUUGAGAACUGUUUAUGCAUAAUGUUUUAACCAAUUUCUCUCCACUAUUUUACUUAUAUAAAAGUUUUAUUUUGGAUUACUUUGUGUACCAGUACAUUUGGAUUGACCCCCUCCUCCCUCCAGGUUUUGAGGCUCAGUCUAGGGGUCCAGAAAAGCUAUAGAUUUUAUUAGACAGAGUUGCAGUGUCCAGUUGGUGAGCCUUCUUUAUUCCAGAAGGGCUGUUUAAUUUUAGACAACUAUUAUUAGAUAUGGUUUUGGUCUACUGGGGCCUUUUCCCAGUUUUCAGAACAGUUUUGAGAUGUAGUAGAGAUUUCGCAGACUGAGUCAGAUCUUAUUCAGAUGUUUUGAAUUGUAACUUUCAUUCUCAUGUCUUGAAACUCAGAGUUAAUGACCAUGUUUUCGUAUCAGAUUAUAUUUUUGCAUUUUCUUUUAUGAUAUACAUGUCGUGCAUGAUUACUAGAUCAGAUAGAGUAGGACAUCCGAGCCUUCACGGUUCGGAAUAUCCAUCACGGUCAGGCCCUAGUUCAGGUCGUGACAAUAGGUCUUUUGGAUAAAAUAUGACUUCUAAUCUGACUAAAACUCUCAUUCAAUCCCAUGAGAAAUUGUAAAAGCCUUUGAGAUCGUAAAUGUUCAGCAUAUAAUCGAGAUUCAGCACAAUCACAAUGUGGUAAAGCAACCAUGACAUCUAAUUCAUCCCAACAAUCCUUUAUUUUUUAGUAAUAACAAGUAACAGAAUCCAUACCUUGUCGGAGAGUUGCAAUCUCAGUCCAUAGAUAGAUUCUAGUCAAAUUUGAUCGAUCAAAACGUUCCUUGAAGUCUUUCAAAACUUGCUUCGCACUUGAAACAAAUAAAAUGCUAGGGAUUAAUUCACUCACCACUGUACAUCCAAUCCAAGAGAGAACAAUUGCAUCACAUUUCUCCCAUAACUCUGCCAAUUCACCUCUGUAACUACUUUUUACACACAAUCCAUCUAUGAAUCCCAGCUUUCCUUUACCUCGAAGUGUUAAUUUCAUUGAUAUACUCCAUAAUGCAUAAUUUUCUGGCCUAUGAGCUUGAUUGGAAUGAUGACAAGUCCAGGCAUGUCUGAAGCUUGAAGAUGAAACGGAUGAUGAUGAUCAAUGGUGAUAGUCUCUAUACUCGCUACACUGUCUGUAUCCGUCAUGGAUGCUGAAGUAAUUGCUCGAGUAUCUACAACGAAAAAAAUGAUCAAAGUUUUGAUACCAUAUAAAUUUAGCUAGAACUAGUAACUGCUAUCUCCAUUGUAGUAGAAGAAAAAUAAAAGAGAGAGAAUUUUCAAGUAAUCAUUUUCUUCAAUGAAUACAAUGUAUAAGGCAUGUUGUGUGUAUAUAUACUUCUCUUAGUUGUGCAUCCAACUGUCAUUUACAACCUGUUCUACAAACAACUAAUUGUAACGUAACUAACUGAAUUGACAGCUCAGCACCUUCUAACUAACUACACAAUUCUUAGAACAGAUAUUUCUAAUAUCUUGAAAAUUUUAUGUUUUAAAUUAAGAUAUUAACCAGGAGUGGAGCUAGCAUUCAAUGAGGGGAUUCUGAACUUAUGUAUAUAUGGUACCUUUUCGGCUAGUUCGUGUGUGUAUUUUUGAAUCCUCUUAAUGAAAAUCUUGCUUUGCCACCAUAUAUAACAAUAGGUAAUGAAAAAAAACUAUAACUAGAGCUGUCAAUAUGGGUCGGUCCAGCCCAUCCGGGCUAGUCCACAUGGGCUUUGGAGUUUGACGGGUCAAGUCGGGCUAGCCAUCAACAUGACAGGACAGAAAAUAGCAAGCCCAACCCAUCACAUUGUGGGCUGCGGGCCUUCACGGGUCAGUCCACUUUUUAAAAUAUAUUAUUUUUAUAAUCUUAAUUUAAAUUUUAAAUUGUUACAUAUAUAUGUACAAUAUAAUAUUACAUGAAGUUAAUACUUGUUAAUCAAUUCUCAAAUUUACAAAAAAAUUAAAUAAUGUGUGAAAUUAAAUAACUUUUGACACCAAAUUCAAAUCAAAUAGAGAUGUUGAAAAAUAAAUGAAAUUGUUAAUGAGUAAUAAUAUAACUAGUUAAAUAAUAAUAUUAACCUAUUUUUGUUUUAAUUAAUCAUGAUAAAACACAAAGAAAUAUCAAUAUUUAGUCCAUUAAAAGUGAAAAUGAACUCCUUAAAAUAGAAAAAAAUCUCAUGGCACUUAUGGGUUAUAGCGUGUUCAACAUCGCCACACUAACUUCAUCAAACAUAUUUGAUUCCUAAAAAAAUUUAGUAUUUUAAUUAUUUAUAUAUUUUAUAAACAUAUUUAAUAUUUAAAUAUCUAUGAUGGUCUAAAUAGACUUUGAGUUUUGACUCUUUUUUCAAUUCUUAGUACUCUAUUUGUAUUUUUUAGGACAUUUUACAUAAAUCCCAAUAUUUUGUUACCUAAUUACUCCCUCUCCCAACUUUUAUAUUAAUUACGUGAUAUCCCGGAUAUGAUACAUUAUUUAAUCUCAUAUAAAUAAGUUUAUAAUACAUUACUAACUAAUUAUUUGGAGAUAAAAACGAAAAAAAAAACAGUAAAAGUGCCUACAAUUUAAUAAUUAACACACUCAAUUUAAGAUUGUGUCUGUUUAAUUACAUAGAAUCUAUAACAACUUCUUUAUUUGAAAUUUGAAUAGUCAAAUCAAGCUUCAUCAAUCAUAAUCUUCCAAAACUAAUUCCUUCUCCAAUCAUUCGUUCCAUGUUCAUCAUAAAAAAUUUCAUCCCCUGCAUUCAGAAAAAAAUUAAACACAAUAUAAGAAUUUGAUGUCUCAGAAGUACAAAUCCCAUAUCCCAUAUAUAUCUUUUUAUGUAAAAAAAUUUAAUGUAUCAGGAAUGCGAAAUCCAUAUCACAUACAUAUAUUAAAUGUAGGAGGUGUAAAAAAUUUAAUGUAUCAGAAAUGCGAAACCCAUACCACAUAUAAAUCUUUUUAUGUAUCAGAAAACAUUCAAUAGUUUGAUCAAAAAAUAGAUCUAUGUAUCAUAAUCAAUAUAUUAAAUGUAUCAGAUAUAAAAAUGAACCAAAAUCACAUAUAGGUUGAAUUAUAUGUUAGAAAGCAUGCAAUGUCUUAUUAACCUUGGAUCUAUGUAUCAGACAUAUUAUAUUGAAUGUAUCAGGUGUAGAAAAAACCAAAAUCACGCCUAAAUUUUAUGAUGUAUCAGAACAAACAGAUAUGUACGAAUAUAAUAUGGUCAUCUGCAACGCAUCUCUAUUAUUAUCGAAAUCCCCGAUUUGAAGAUUUGUUUAUUCAUAUGAUACAUUACGUUAAUAAGAAUAUAUUAAUUCAUACCUUUGAUAAAAAAACUUUUUUUUUAACUUGCUUUCUUUUACUCUUCGCAGAUGCAACAAUAUGCUUCUUAUUACUACUACCAGCAAUCUCUCGUAGUUUCUUCAUCAUAAUCGAGUAGUUGCGAUACUUCGAUUUAUUUUCACAAAAAGUCACUGUCUUUGUAAUCAAGAAAAUUAUGAAAACAAAUUUACCUCCCAUAAAUUUGAAGAAGAAAGUUAAUGGAGGUUGUAAUUGAAAGUUGAAACUUGAAUGUUGAAGUAGUGGCUGAUAACACGAUUGAAAUUCAAAAUUGUUGAGUUGGUGAAAAAUGUUAGAUACUUCUCCAUGAUUUUGGGCGAAUUUUGAGGAGCAGGAGGCGCAAAAAUAGGGUGGGUUGUAAUGUAUCAGCAAAUAUUAGGGUUUUAUGAGUUAGAAUGAAUUUUUGUAAUUAAUUUAGUGGGAUGAGAUUUUAAGUAAUAAUGAAAAGUUAAGGUGUGGUUUUAAGUAAUUUUUCCUAUUUUUUAAGCAUUUUUUGUUUGGCCCACGGGCAGUCUAGCCUAUAUUGCUCAAGCUCAUGGGCCAACGGGCUUAUACGGGUCGGGUUAAAAAACUCUUUUCUUAAACGGAUUGUAAAAGUCGUAUCUCAAUUCUAUCAAAUUACAGACUGAACCGAGUCGGCCCAACGGACCUGGCCAUAUUGAGGGCUCUAACCGUAACACAUAAGUAUCGCAAUAAUAACACAUAAAAGAGUUUCGUUUUGUAGUUGCUACCAAAAAUUUUACCUCUAAAAUGCUGAUUUCAUUCCCAAUGAGUACAAGAACAUUUUCCAUUAUUUACUUAAACGUUUUUCUUAUUUAAGAACGUUCUUAUAGGAAGUCUUAAAAUUCUGUCUUCUUUGAAAUUUGGUUUUCCCCAUUUAAGAACCUUCCAUUUACAAUUUUACAUGCUAUUGUUGAUCGCUUGAUUAGUCUGUCUAAAAGUAAAAUGAUAAAAAGGAUGUGCUGACGAUAUAGACUUGAAAAUGAUGGGAAUCGUAUUGAUAAAGAAGAGGCAUCAACAUCGACUCUCUAUCCAAUCCAUCUUCCCUGGCCUCCCCAACACACUCUUGAUACGAACGAAACUCCUACUCUUAUAUAUAGAUGGUAGUUAAAUAGAUCUUCACCUCGUGAUGAUAUGGGGAAUACACUUUGAUCAUUCAUAAGUUCAAACUUACAUAUGUACAAUUCAACUUACAGCCAGCAAUUUUCACAUUGUAAAUACUACUGAGAAAGGCUAUUUUAUUCGCAUGAUACAUGUGGUGUUCUCAAAAUUGGACUUACUUUACUAAAAAGAGAAAUUUUACAGAAGCCUGUCACACCCAAAGUGGGAAAAUGAACUUUACUAAGAAGAGAAUUCUACAGAAACUCUCUGCACACAAACUGAAAAUGAAGCAAACGAUCAUAUCUUCUUCAGCUGUAAACACAAGAAUUCUUCUUGAACUUGAUGGGUUUUGUGCUAGUAGAGUCAAUGACCAAGUCACAUGAGAUUUCCUUUUUGUUCUUUGUUCUAACCAAUUUCCCCACCACAUCUCCACGCGACCUUACUUCGAAUUCCAACUUUAACGGAACUUUAAAUCCGCCGUUAGUUGCUGCAUCAAGACCUGAUCCAGCUCCAUACAAGGGAACCUUUGUUGAUUCUAUGUUAACUAACACGGUCCGCCUGCUCUUCCUAGGUUGAAAAUAUUUCUUCAGCUGCAAAACCGAAAGGAAAAUUAAGGAUAUAAAGGUAUCAAGAUGCACCCAGUCGUGAAUUUGGCAACUUGCACAUAGCGGUGUCACAUUUAGACCUCAAAAAGCAUAACAUGUCAAAACCCGGCCAAAAUUGGGCAAGUUAGACUCGGUAUACAUACACAUUGAUCGGUCAUUUUGAGCAUAAUACAAAUUAGCCUAUCUAAAGCGUACGUCAAUUUGGACUACAGAUGGAGCCUAGAUUGACUCAUAAUAACUUAUCAAAACAUUAAAAAAUAAGGUUUUUGGUUUGUUGAAUAUGAUAAAAAGGAACUUUUAUUAGUUUGGUAAUUAGACAAUUAUAUAAGAAUAGAACACCCAAAUGAAAAUGAUCUUGAGUUGGGUUACGAUCCUUUGUUUAGCCCAACUGACGGUCAUUUUUUAUCAAGCCAAAUAUUGGGGAGUCUAUUACCCCAAUCUAUUAGUCACUCAACCUGUUUUAACCCGGAUGUAGUCCAACUUGUCCAUCUAACACUCCGUGAGAACAACACUUGCAAAUUGAAAAGGCAGAACAACAAGAGAGAGAUAUCCUUACCAAGAAAAUGAAAGAAAUAUAUAAUGAGAUUACCUGACCAGUAGCAACGACGAUGUCUGAAUAGAUGAGAUUGAUGGGGGUGGAAGUAACAUGAAUGCCAUAGAACGUGGCAGGAUUGUACACACUUAUUCUCAAUGACCCGUUCACCGUCAUCAUCUUGGUUACAACUCCAGUGAAAUCCGAACCUUCACCGAUGUAGAAGUUAUUCACAGCUAAACUCUGAAAACUCACAAAGAUAAAGUUAGUCAACUUGCUAGAACCCUGAACCAAAGGCUUCUUUCCCAAUCUCCGCUUGCAGCUCUGGACAAAAAAUUAACAUCACGAGGAGAAGAAUUCACCGAUGAAAUCAAACAAUAGAACUGCAUUCCUAUCCACUAUUUUUUUAAAUCCUUAUUUCAAUAAUAUAACUCCAUCCAUGUGAACUUAUUCACAUUGCGGGUCUUAAUCCCAAAUAAACGAGAAAUGUUGUAACAGACAGACAGAACGCAUAAAACUAGUCAAUUAUGAUGAAUCCUCAUCAUAUUCGAUAUGAUUAAAUAACACCGACAUGAACACUGAAAUUCAUAUAACCAAACUCAUCAUAAGGCGUAGCGUUAGUUGUUCAUUUCAAUAUUACGAAUAUUUUGUUUAAUGCUGAAAACAGUCAUGCCUACUACCAAUCCGCAAUAAAUGCCAAAAGUAUAUCCUGACAUAGACAAGCUUUUACCGAUUAAUUGGAAUUCAGGUCUAACAAAAAAAAAUUUCUCAGAAUAAACACCAUCAAAUUUGCUGACAGUUCAACCUCUUGCCCAGAAGCUCAUAAAAAAAAAUUCAGACAAGUAGAGGGGGAGCUAUAGUAUUCUUCCAACACAAACAGUAGCUUUUGCCAAAAUCAUGUAUUUGUGUUAAAAAUAUACUCUUUUUGCUUCAAUUUGCUUGUCUUACUUUCUUUUACCGACAAUUCUUUAAUUACAACUUUGGAGAUUACAUGUUUAAGACCACAAGAUUAAUUUUGCUUAUCUUUAGCUUAAAGUUAAAAGAUUCAAUUUUUUAUCUUCUUAAACUUUGUGCCAAUUUAAAAUCAGAUAAACAAAUUGAAAUCCAAAGAGUAGUAAAUAUUUUUAUCUAAAAAUUCUGAAUUCACUAACUCCAAGAGCAAAAGAAACAUACCCUGACAGUAAUCUGAGCUUUGUAAGGCCUUCCAGCACCCCAAAUGAUUAAGCAAAAUAUAGAGAACAAAACAACAAACCCCAAAAGAGCAAGCAAAGCCUGACACCUCCUCGUUAAUCCCUCUUCCUCAUCCAAUUCAUCAUACUUACCUUCUUCCAAAAUCACAUUGCAUUCUGGCCACCCUUUAUCAUUCCUUUUCCGACCAUUUUUCCGACCAGAAGACGACCUAAAUAUCCCCGAAAACCUACUUGCUGAUGAAUUCCUUGAGUGUCUGCCAAAUGAUGGAUGUGAUGGAGAUUCCAUUGGACUAUUGAAGCUUGGUGUUGGUUGCAUGGAUGUUUUGUCUCCAUCAUGUGAGUCUCUUGAAGGACUCUGUACGUAGUACACUGGUCGCUUUGGUGACCUCGACGGCGAUGAUGGUGCUAAACUUGUUAUAUCUGAUUCAGAUUUUGCGUGCAACAUUUUUUCCGAACAGAAAAAAAUAUAAUCUACAACUGAAUUACACAGCAAAUUCUUAGUUGUUCAUAAAUGUCAAAAUAAUCUCAUUUGCAUGGGACUUUUUUUUUUUUUUUUUUUUUUUUUUAUGGUGAGAGGGAGCACGGGGGUUUUUUGCUUAAUGAGUAGAGGAAGCAAGUGAGUUUUAGUAGAGAAACUGAGAAGUAGAAGGAGGAGGAGGUUUGGAAAGUGGCCGAAGCUGAACCUGAUUCCGAGCCUAAUCAACAAAGUUGGUUUGGAAAUAAGUGUCGGCAGCAUCUUUGUCACUUUCGAACAAGAUGGAACUAAUCUUGAUGCACUAUAGUCAUAAAAGCUCUUUCUUUUUUAAAAUAAAAAUUAUAUAUUUAUGGUGUUGAUUGAUUAUAAUUUAAAUAGUUAAAAGAAAAUCAUCUAUUGAUUCAAAUGAAAAACUUACACCUUCAUGAUUUUAGUGACCUCAUCAGGAAAAAUGAGAAUUUUCGGCUUCUUGUAAUAAUGAAAUUACCAUAAAAGCUUCAUAUAUUUCACUUAUUAAUUACCUGUUAAUCCAGAUAAAUAACUAAAAUGACAUUCCUUUUAUUUUCUUAAAAAAUAACUAAAAUGACAUGUAUAAAAAAAAUAAAGAAUCAAUCUUACUUAUGCACCUUAAUUAUUUUUAUCAAAUCCCAACUACCUCUUACGAAAUAUUAGACAAAUAAAAAAAUAUAUACUAUUAAUUACGUAAUUAUUUUUGUCUCUUCUAAGAAUCAAUUUUAUAGUCUCAAAUAAUUGUCAUCACAUAUUAUUAAUCACUACACUUCACUAUACCAUCGUUUGGUGCAACGAAUUCAUUAAAGCUGAGGUUUUGAUUAAUAUUUUUGGAUUUUAGAUCCUACCUAAUUUAGAUUCAUUAAUUUAUUAUAUUUUUCUUUACUAACCACUGCCCUACUAUGAUAUUUCUCUCUUUCCUUUUUUUUUUUUUCAAAGUUAGGAAAGUAAGAAAAUGCCAACUAUUUUAUGACUGUCAUUUGAUUUUUUGCUUAGCGCAAAAGAUAAUGUCAUGAGUUUAUUUCUUAUUUUCUUCUUUGGAUAGCAUAAGUAGUAUACUACUGAAAUAGUAUCUCUUUUGUUUAGUUAGUGGUAGGGUCCCAGUAAAUACAAAAAUGGUAAUGUAGUGCAAUGGCAACUUGGUUUUUCAAUAGCAUCCCAUAUUUAGUAUUCAUUUUGAGGUAUCCAACUAAUUUAAAUUCACAUGGUAUAAGUUAAGUAAAUGAAAAAAAAAUACUUUAUAUUAGCAAUUUUGGUAUAUUUAAAAUUUGAAUUCUAGAUUUCUAUUAUGAUAGAAGAAUCAUUGAGUACAGGAGCGGAGCUACAUGUAGGAUAGGGGGUUUGAAUAACCCUCUUCGACGACAAAUUAUACUAUAUAUAUAUGAUUAAAAUUAUUUUUUAUGUUUAUAGAGUAGAUGUCGAACCGCCUUCGGUUAGUUCAUAUGUUCAUUUGUGAACCUCUUGAUGAAAAUUUUGGCUCCGCCGCUGAUUGAGUAGCAGUUCUUUUUGGCUCCGCCGCUGAUUGAGUAGCAGUUCUUUUUGGUUGUUGCUUUUUUGUCUAUAAUAUCUGAAUUGAUAUUAUAAUGUCGCAAUUCUUAGUAAGUCACACCAAACGGUGUAACUUAUCACUUGUAGCAUAACAAAAAAAUUGAAAUUGUUUCUUAUGAGCUCAUAUUUUCGAUCUAAAAUACUCCUGCAAUGGCACGUUGCAUGAAGUAAAUCAAAAGAAUAAAACUGCGGACCAAUGAACUAUCAUCUCAUCAGUAUACAGAGUUGAUAUCUUCAGUACCAACACAAGAGUUUGUUGUGUGUAUUUCGUUUACGAAUUAUUAUUACAUUUAAAUUCAGACCUAUCACCUACUUAUGAAAUUAAUGCACAUUAUUGCCUCCUCAACCAUAGCUUAACUUGAAUAGUGGAAUGAUUAGGGAUUAAUUACACGAAUCUCAAUGAUUUAUAAGGACAAAGACUAUAUAUGUCAUACUUUUUUAAUUUGGAUGAUGAGCGAUAGAGAAGUGGACAAUAACAGGGAAAAACAGUUGGUUGAUGGAAAAGUGGGUCAUUAAUUUAUUAUUGAACUGGUGUGUGUGGGGUGGGGGUUACAAUCCAAAGAUGACAUUGCCAUGGGCCAGUUAUUAGUAGUAUUAUUUUUUUAAGAUAACCGUGGAGGCCGGAUCACAUUUCGUGCAUCUCAUUUAAAUUUACGAAAUCUCAGAUAAAUUUAUGGAAUACAUGUCAUCUCCAUUAAAUUUACGAAAUCUCAGAUAAAUUUACGAGAUACAUGUCACUUCCAUGUAGGCCACUUAUUGAAUCGCAUAUAGCCAACUGAAUUAUACACUCCGACACCAAAAGCCCCACUAUUAAAAAGCUUCAUCACAUAUAUUCAUAUCCUUAUUGUGCCUUGUACUUACACCUACUUCAUUGUUUUACUUUCUUACCAUUUCUCCCUAAAUAUACAGGAAUAUAUUUUCAUGAAUUUCACACUUAUAUGACAAGUUUCCCAUCUACUUCUUAGAAGUGUGUGAUGUAUGUCAUCCCACAAGACGCUCAAAACAACCAACUGUAUAAGUAGAUGAGUAAUUUAAUUAAAGAAUAACAUCAUUUUACAUCUACUGAAACAUCUCUUUUGAUUCACAACUCAUUUACCACCUUUUAUACAAGCAGAUUAAGGUCAUUGACUGCUGGUUCCAAUCAAUAUCAUAAAUUACAAUAGUGAAAUUCGCUUAUCUGUGACUGCAAAAAUAUAAAAAGUAAAAGAUGAAAAAAGGCUGUGCUACCUUCCUCUCAAAAAUGAAUACUCAUUUCCUAGUGUUCAACAUCUCUACAUUCCUGAUCUUAAGUAAAUUACUCUCUGUGCUUAUGGCAAAAGCAACGACGUCAACUUCAAGGCUGUUUGUCGAAUAAAGCUCUCAUCAAAAGUUUCUCAACAGUUACUCUGAUCUGGCAGCUGUGAAGAAGGAAUGAAAGCCUGAAGCUUGAACGGGUAAUAUGUCGCCAAACCUGCCCACUUGCCCAUCAGUUAGUAUUGAUCCCAGUUUCAGAGUGCUCUCUCCAAAUUUGCUGCCAACCUGGAUUAUUGUAGGUACAAAAAUACGCUUAUAUGAGAAAAACAACUAUUCAGUCAAAUUAAUGAUUCAGACCAUGAUUCACAGUUCAAAAUAACAGCUUCAGUAACUGGACUAUUUACCUAAAAGUGCACGCUUUGGAUGACAAAGAUCUGAACUUUGUUUAUCUGAUAAUGAUCUACAAUAUCAAACUCACCAUAUCUAAAGUAGCACCUUAAUUCUCAUCAUAAAUUAGAAGUUUGGUGGCACAGAUUGUUGAAAUGAGGAAAAGCAAACAAGACAUGCAGCCUUUGAGAAUCAUGGAGAAAUUGUUCCAAAAUGAACAAAAAAAGGAAAAACAAUUCUCAAAUCAAUCUCUCCAUAGCUUUAGAAUUCACUUAGUAAGAAAAUGGACAGUUUAAAGCAAGCGGGCUGGGUGAUCAUUCUAUAAUUGUCUUUUUGUGAAGCUUCUUUAUCCUCUCUUUGAAUCGUUUAUGAAGAAAAAUACCUUUAUGAGAAGGGAUUAUGAGUUGGAAGAUGAAAGAGGGAAACAAAAGUGUGGGGUGGGGGCAGGGGUGGACGGCUAAUUUAAUUUUGUUGAUUGUAUUUACCAAAUGAAUAUAUUGUUGAUACAGAAUUUGAACUAAAAAAUACAUUCUUUUGUAAUUUAUGGAUCACAGCUCCUCUUUCCAGUUUUUUUUUUUUGCUAUUAAUUCAGGAACCCAGCUUAAAAGACGACAAAAUGUAAUCUAUUUUACAUGACAUUUGUUACCAAAUGCAAGUAAACUUUCUUCCGGUAUAAAAAAUGACAUCAUUUCAAUGGAAGUUCGUUAUUCACCAAAAAAACCAAGGUUUACAAAGUUAAAUAAUAAGAAAACAUAAAACACUCUUAUGAAAUUCAAAAAACUGAGGUGUGAGACAAGCUUCAGUUUAUUCUUAAGAUUAUAGCAAGAAACAGGUCAAUAUGCAAUUUUGAGCAGAAACGCGCUGUACAUAAAACUAAAGGACAUAAACAAAAUCAAGAUCCACACAAUAAGACGUAAAAUAUAUUCGAUUUCUCUUUCUGCAUGGGACUAAAAUUCCUAUAUAUUUUUAUCUUUCAAAAAUUUUUGGAAAACUCACCUCUUGUGGUUAAUAGAAAAAAAAAAAAAAAAAAAAAGCGUAUGCAUGGAACCGGAGGCAUAAAAAAGAUUACAAAGAAGGGAGGUUCUAUAGAGAGUUAGAGACUAGGCAAAGAGGAAUGAUUUACCUGCAUAAAUGAUUUCAAAAAUGGCGAUGCUAUCCCCGAACUAGAAUUUUCAUCAAUAUCAACCUUUCGAGACAGCUCGUCAUUUGUGUAACUUUUCCAGGGACUUCUCGAUGAAACAUUAUCAAUAGAUGCUGAGAUUGAUGCCUUUGUUGUCCCCCUUGAAGACAAUGCCGGGGCACUGAAUUACAAAUAUAAAUUUACACGUUACAUUAAAGGGUACAUGACAAAUGGCAGUAAACACAUUAUACAUCAGAAACAUUAAAGAAGAUUCAGAGAACAAAAUGUUAUAUCCAACAUAAGGAAUGCAAUGCAUUUUAUACAAGUGUUGAAAUGUCAUCCCUCCACCUAGAUAAUCAAGAAGGGAAAAUCCUGGUGCAAGUGAAAGACUACCACAAACUGAGCAGAAAAUGAAUUGAACGGUGUAACCAACCUGAUGGGAAGAUAUUUGAAGCGCGGUACUUCAGAGCAGCGCAUGAUGUUUGAUUCUGAAUUGGUUGGCAGUUUCUGAGCAGUAUCUGUGUACAUCCGAUUAAGCUGAACAAAGAACCCAAGGAGGACAGCAUGCCUCAGGUAUGACUGCCUCUCAUUCUCCCAAAGAUAUGGCUCAUAGCUGCAAAUGAAUCAGCCGAAGUGUCAACUAACUAGAUUAAGGCACAAUACAUCAAUCUACUAUUCUCCUAAUGGCACUCCACCUCCCCCAAAAGAGGUAACAGAAUCCAAGUAAAACCAAUAGCAUGUAAUUUCAUAAAUCUUAGCAACAAAGAGUGCACUUAAAGAUGCAAAGGAAGAUGAAGCAGUUGAUAAACGACAUUCUAAUAAUACUCCUUCAGCCAUUUUGCAACCCAACGUGAUGAAUACAAAAUUGAAGAGUAUUCUACCACAUCAGUCCCAUGUGGUGUGCAACAAUUAAUACUCACAGGUGUGGGCCUACAGUAUGAAGUAGAUAGUUCUCAGGCAACAAACCAUCUUCACAUGGCACUAACCCAAGAACUUCCAUUAUAGCAGCACAAGCCUUUUCAGAAUACACUGAACAGGUGAAUCAGAAAUGUACCAGCUAGAAAUGGAUGCAAGCAAUGCAUGUGAAACUUCUGUACAGUAACUUCUAGAAACAUACCAUCUUUCUCUCAAAUUGUGUUACUGAUAGAACCAAUAAAAAAUUUAACUUACUAUUUAAUUAAAUGUGGUAGUUCUUAAAUAAUGAUAACUGAGGGGUCCAUUAGUUACGAGAUUAAAGGAUUAUAAUCCCAGGAUAAGAUGUGGGAUUAUUUUAUCCCACGUUUGGUAGAAUUUUUAAUUCGGGCUUAGCUGUCCGCAAUUAUUUAUACCACAACUCUGGAUAAACAAUCCCGAGAUUACUAACCAGGAACAAAACAGCAAAAUGACACAUUUGCUUUUCUCCAAAUCUUUUCUCCCAAAGUUUUUUUUUUUUUUAGAAAAAAAAGGUUAAAAUUAGACGAAAAAAAGUUUAUCUAGUUUAAGCCAAACACGUGUUUCAUAUAUUACCCCGUAUAUCCCAAUUUUUAUCCACUAACUAAUCCCAUCAUUAUCUAAUCCAUGUAUUAUAAUCCCGGUAUAUUAUUCUACAUGAAAUGGCAUUCUUAAGUUUCAAGAAGCCAUAACAAUUCUACUUUGAUCUUUUAAAAAGUACUUCAUCAUUUCUUUUUGUGUAUAAUAAAUUUACUAACUAAUAUUCAAGCCUAUUUAAAAAGAGUCCCAUAAAAUAGAAAACAGGAAAUAGCACUUAGAAGAUGCGAAAGCCAAUUUAUUUAUAUAGAAGCAUGAAUAUUUUCAUCAAGUUUAUCUGGUUUGGAAAAGCUUACGUGAGCCAAUCAAUAGGAUCCAGUCUUUGUGCAAAGCUACUUAUCAACCCAUUGACACGCUCUUCAGAGACUGACUUGUUUAGUUGUAUGUCCUGCUUUCUUCUAAAAGGAUGUUUUGUCUUAGGUACUGUCAAUGAUUCUUCAUUUGCACUAGCAUCACCACCAGAGAGAAUAUCUGAAGCAAAUCUUAGAUCCAAUAAAACUUGCAACACUCCUUUUUCCGACACUCGAGAUCCCUGAGUUUCUUGACUGGAAAGGAAGUCUCCAUAAAUAUGAAUCAUCUGUCAAUAUGUGACAGUCAUCAGAAUACAGAAGCAUCAAUUGUUAUAAAACUUAAGAACACCAAAGUAGUUCUCGUAAAGUAAAUCAAUUCAAGUACCUUCUAAAAGGAAAAAGACAAACCAAAUAGAAAUCAUAGCAGAAAAUGAGAACAUCUUUGAUGAAUUGUUAAAGAACUUUACGAAAUUGUCUAGAACAAUCCACGCUUAUAACUAGUUAAAGCUUUGAAGAUCAGAUAUUCAGUAAAUUCUCCAGGAAAAGAAAAUCAGAUAUGCAAGAAAAACUUGAGAAAAUACAUCCGUCUCUUCCUUUUUCAAAUAAAGACUCUGGAGAGCAAUGUCAAAACAGGCAAUUUUAUGAGAUCAGCAGCCAAAACAAUUUAGAAGUAAAACAAAACCAGCACACAUAUCUUCCAACUAUAAAAACAUAAACAAAAUCUUUACGAAUUGAAUAAGAUCACCAAUGCGGUUGAUUCGUACUUCCAGGUUUUUAUCAAAAAACGAUGAAUGUAUUCAUGAGCCAAAUUCAAAUAUUUAACAUAACAAUCUCUAAGAGGCUUUAGGCACAUAGAAAUCAGGAACGUAAAGGAUGGUUAGUAAGAAAUUGGCCUUAUCCAUAAGAAAAGCAAGAAACAAAAUUCACGGGAAGUUUCAGACAAACAGUGUGGUCAUUUUGACGAGGGACCUUUUGGGGUCCAUUAGAUUCCAGCAGAAACUAACUCACGAAAAAGGCAUAUGGUUCCUUCUUGCUUUUCAUACCUUUCCACAAUUAUGGAAGAUAAUCCAUGAUAAGAUAACAAGUGAGAUUUUUCAAAAACAUUCAAAAUUGAGGAAAAGAACAGCGUACAUCUUUCAAUACCUUAUCUAACAAUCUUGAGGCAAAGUUUUUCAGAACAGGUUUAUCAAGCACAUGUCCACCUACUCGCUGAAUUUCUUCACAAGCUUGGAAUAGAAAAGAGGUUAUGUACAAAGAAGGCAUAGAAGGAAGCAAUAUCUUCAUCUCUGACUCGCCUUCCUUUGACUGAUCUUGCUUAACAACCAUCUCCUCCCAGCCCUGCCGAAAAGUUAAGAUGAAGAAGUUUGCUUAACCAACUUAUAGAAAUCAAUUAUCAAUUAAGAGGAGGUAAAACUUGAUAAAAUAAUUUAGAGUAACUAAAGAAGAAGGUGAGGAAGCUCUUUUUGCAUAUUAUAUGAGCACGAAUGACUUAUAAUGGUUCACUUUUCAAUAAGCAAUGGAAUCUUUAUUCAUGGUAUGAACAAACACUGAAAGAGGACUAUGUAAACCAGAAAAGAAAGAUACAUAUACACACAACUAUACAUUCCCAUCAAGGAUAAGCAUAAAAAAGAACUGGUGCCUUACAUCCCCCGUGCAGAACGAGGAACCCACUAUACACAAAACAUGUAGAAACAUCAAAACCUUUUUUAUGGAAUAGGCGUGCUUUCUUUUUUUUUUUCCUCCCUUUUUGAAUAAAGAUGGUGUCUAUAAAAACCUUGUGUGCACCAUUGACCAAUCCACCGGGUGCAUGCUAUCUCUCAACCAACACAAAUAUCACGUUACUCUACCCACCAAGACUUAGAGAUGGAAAGAGAUCACCUAAUCUAUUUCUGUUUUUGAGCAGGCAAGUUCAGAGUUAGGAAUCUUCUAAUCUUAUGUUAUAGCAAUGUACGCUAUAAGCAAGUUCAGAGUUAGGAAUCUUCUAAUGUUAUUUUAUAGCCAAAUACACUAUAUAACAGCAAGCAAAAAAAGUAUGAACUUUAUUACUUUCUUGGAGAUAAAAUGAUCAUCACAAAAAUCCAAAAAAUUAAACUGAAUUUACAAAGAGCAAUAAAUUUUAUAACUCUCUUGGAGAUAAAAUGGACAUCACAGAAAUCCAAAAAAUUAAACUGAAUUUACAAAGAGCAUUACUCCUAACAGAAUGAUUGGUGUAUUUUGCAGAGAAUCGUGUUUUGAUGUAGAUUCUCUAGUUUUUGGUAUAGCUCUUGUAUACGGAAGCUUUCGUUCCCACUGUUAAUUAUAUCAUUUACCUUCUCAAAAAGAAAAAGAAAAAGAUGACGAACACUCCCUGACUUUGAGAAAGUUGAUAUUUUUUCUCUUAAAAAAAAAUAUUGGCGAGACAUAAAUUUAUAUGCAGCAUAAGAAGUCAUACAAAAAUAAUUGAGUAACACUUAUUGUUUUUAAAGGAAAUCGAGCAUUGCAUCAGUAUAUGUAAUAGGGUAUGCUUGUUUGUAUAACUUUUGUGAUUUUUUAUGACUUUUGCGAUAUCAUGACUAGAUUAAUUUCUUAUUGCACUGUUUUUUUGGCUAUAUCUUGACUUUGUUACUGUUUUUUACUUUAUUUCUCAUAAUAUCUUGUGCCUGAGCCGGGGGUCUUUCGGAAACAGCCUUUCUACUUCAUCAGAGGUAGAGGUAUGGACUGCGUACAUCUUACCCCCCCAGACCCCACUAAGUGGGAAUACACUGGGUUUGUUGUUGUUGUUGUUGUUGUUACUGUUUUUUACUUUAAACUUUUUACUCUUAUUUUAUCCUAGACAAAGAACAGUAAAAAAAGAAAGGAAAUCGAAACAUUCAUUCUGGUGGAGGAUGAAGUCCUGCCCGCCAUACCUUGGGCACUUAUAGGUGCCAAAGGUAAUAGCAUAUAUCUGUGUGUACAAACUUGAGGGCAAUCCAAGAAAAAGACAACUCUUAGGUAUCUUCUGGUUAUGGUAGAUGAAUACAUAGCUUUCACCCUCAUAACUAGACCAAGAUACUUCCAUGAGUGCUACGCUUCAUUUUGAUAAAGUUAUAAUUAAUACUUCAGAUAUACUAAUCCUCUUGGAUGCUCUCUACUUAACAUUUCCUAAUCUAAAAUUUAAUGAAUCAUCUACCCCUGUUAUUACACUAUGGGGUCAGUUACACUAAUCCUCUAUAUCCAAUCCGGUCUAUUUGGGCCCACUGGUUCAUUAUAAAAUUUAUCAGUAGAAAAUUCUCCUAAAAUCCAGGAUCAGAAGAUGUGGUUGUCAAGUUAUUCUGAUUACAAGUGCGGCAAAAUAAAUACCAGGACCACUGAUAGAAGUGACUUAUACAAUACAGGUACAAUUUAUGAACAUCUAAAAAGCAUAAUAAUAAAAACGGCAUGCAAAGUAUUUAGGAAAACCCAGCCAUAACAGUUAUAAGAAUAGCACUCACUCUCAAGGUUGUUGUUGCCAACAAGGCAUCAUCCUGUUUGAGAUUUUGGGAUAAGAUAACUGAAAGUUCAUCAGAAACCCAAGAUAUCCACAUAUUAUAAGCUCUGAUGCAAAGAUCUUGGGUCAUUUUACUUAGCUCUUCAAGCUGUGGGCUUGAACUGUCAUCCACUCCAAACAAAGCAGCCGACGCCAAUGAACUCUGUCUUCUGGGUGAAUCAAACAUUGUACUUCCAGGACCAUCAGAGGUUGGGGAACUGAGAGGUGGCAUAGAGUACCUUACUAGAGUUGGGGUCUUGAGAGGGCCAGCUCCUCUAGUUUCAUUCACCCAUGACCUUGGCGAACCAAGUAUGACAGGAAUGUGUCUGGAAUGCUUCUGGAAUGCAAACAAAAGCCGGCCUAUAAAUAUUGACCUCUCAACAAGUAUAGCAGGUGAUGGAACUGACUCGUCCUUUGGGUUUUUGUUCUGAAGAUUAGCAGACAAUGCAUCCAACUCACUCUUCAGUUCCAUCAGUAUAGCAGACAUACUUUGGUAACAUUUAUUUUGUAAAUAUGGGGCCAGAUCUUUCAGUCUCAAGGAUGCCUUAGGAGACUCCAGGAAGCUUAGCAGGUUUUUUAAAACACUCUCACAGCAGCUGUCCACAGCAUCUCUAAUCCUGCUGACUUCAUCCCCGAAGUAAGCAUUGAGACAACUGCGAAAAUCAUUCUCCUCGGGCUGCUGUGACUUGCCACCAGGAAUGGCAGUAACUUUUUUACCAUUUGGCUCCAUGAACCAAACACCUCCACCAUUUAAAGAUCUAUUCAAGUAUGCCUGAAAACUGACCUGCUCACCGGGAGUUCCUGAGAUGGCCCGCGCUGACGCUACAACAUCAACUAAUCCACUCAACUCAUCAAAUCCUUUAUCAAUAAUUGCUUUCAUCCUUCUCACAAAAGCAUCUUCGAAUAUCUCAUCCCACAGGUCCGAAUCACCUCCCAAUACAAGCUCGCGUGUUCUCUUCCACGGCAAUUCAAUUUCAGAACCAAAAACACUCUUAAGCCACUCUAAACUCCCUUCUAAGACCUGCUUACUUUCCAUAGUUUCCCGUAUCAACAUCUCAGCAGAUGCAAGGUCUUUUCCACAGCUGAUAACAUCGAUCAAGUACUUUCCAUUGAUCUUGUUCAUUAUCUCCUUUCCACAGUUCCUCAACCAAUCAGAACAUGCCUUGGAAACGAAAUCCCUAUCCAACAUUACCAUUUGUGAUUCCAGAUCAUCUCUAAAUGAGUUCCACAACCGCAUUUCCUCAUCGGGAUUAGGUAUUCCACCAAACAAUUGAGAGGCAGGAGGCGAACCCAAUACCGUCUUAUAAAACAAAGGCAUAUCAUUCAACACUUGCAAGAAUAAUUCUCCUACUUGCCCCACUGUAACCUGAAUAAUCUUUAAUGCUUCACAAUAAACUAAAAUCACAUCGGAGCUAGUAGCAUUAUCACUAGAACAUGCAUUUAGUUUCUGAGAAAUACACGAUUUUCGCGAAUCAAGGAACAAUGUAAGAACCUGUUUGGGAUCAAGCUCAUCAAUAACAGCAACUGCAGCUAGAGCAUCCGCAUAAGCUUUUAUCCCAAGGCCAAGUGCUUGAUCCAACAAUCUCUCUCUGCUUCUCUGCGAGAUCUGAAAUUUAAAACUCUCUACAAUUUGCCAUUGAUGCUGAAGCAAUGGAAACUUCGAAAGUACACUUUUGUAAUCCUUGUUGUUAUUCAAACUAUGAUGAACAUGUUUAGCACGGGCGUAACGUGCAGAAGAUUCUAGAAACAUCGAUUCAUCAAGACAUCCCCAAAUAUUCUCCGGCGUAUCAACAAGAUACUUAACCCUACAAGCAAUUCCGUAAAUCCUAGCUUUCGCAGGAUCAGAGGAGACAACAGACUUAGGCGAAUCGGCAACCGUAGAAGAUAGAGAAUGAAGAAUGCCGUGGUGAAUCGCAGCUAUAUUAGCAGAAAUUGACUCGCAUGAGGAUUUCAUAAGAACAAUGGAAUCGGCGGAAUCGAUAAGAUCUCGGUAACGAUUACCGACGUGUUGCCGGAGCUCCUCGCUCUUGUCUUGGAUCUGUUUCCUCGUAGCUGCUUCCACAUUUCGGAUUUCGGCAAUUGGCUUUGUACGGAAGAGUAACUCAGCAUCCUGGUUUCUUACGCCGCCGCUUCCGGCGGUGGAUGCUGCAACGGAGCUAAGGCGGUUUUGAUCGGCGGGUAGUGUCGGUGACGGAGAUGUAGGUGUCACUACCCUCAUUUUCUCGCCGAGAAUUUGGAGUUGGAGUGAGAGAGUAGAGACUAGAGAUGGAAAAUGUUGUUUUCAUGGAAGCGGGGCGGAGUGAUAACUUCCAUUUUUUCGUCGAGGAAGGUCUAUGACCUUUGAGUAACGGGCACGUAUAGCAGCUAUUCGGAGUUUAGUAAAAGGGCGGGUCGGGUUGGGUUCAUCCUAUUUCUGGCUGGAUUCGGGUUGCUAAAAAAUUUUCCCCAUGAACUACGAUUAAAGAAAAAGAUAAAAAUAAGAAACGAUGAUACAAACAAGUUAUCACACGUGGGUAACCUUAGACGAGGACCAGUAAGUUCAUACACUAAUGAGUAAUGAGUCGUUUUGUACACGUAAUGGGAUCUCAAUAGUAAUUUCAUUAUUUUAAUAUAAAUAAUAGAUAAAAUAAUUUCAAAAUUAGAUAAUAUCUUAUAUCAAAUAUAAAAUAAAAUUAAUUCAAACUUUAUUACGGAAUUAUUUUUUCCAUCACUUCUGCCAAAUGACUCCUGAGUAAUCCUUUCUAUUUAAAGUUGAUUUUAUAUACCAAAAUCAUUGUUACAGCUCGAUCACUACAAGAAAAUCAUUGAUUAAGUAACGUAACAUGCACAAUUAAUACAAAUCCUCCUAUGGCAAGUUAGUUGUGCCCUUCAAUAGGUUGCAAGUAGUAAUGAUGAGCUAAGUAUGAGCUUCUAACACGAAGGGUCAAUGACAUUGAGAUCUGUUUGUCAAAAAAAAGCUUCAAGGCAAAUCAACGAAAAGGACGUUUAUUUGCAUUGAAACUAAAUAAAUUGAAUAGUUCUUGCAAUAUUUGCCUGAUUAAAAAUAGAAUUGACACACACAGAAUGACAAAUUGAAUUGUUCUUUCAACAGAAAAAGAUGAUUGCAAUCUGCCAAAAAUAAGUUAUUUGAGUCGUGAGAAUAUUGUUCGGUGGAAGAGAAAAAAAUUAGAAAGUUUGAAAAGUAUGUUUGACCAAAAUUGAAGAGUAAAUUAAGGGACUACAGUGAUGAUAGAUUUAAAUUGCUAUUGAAUAAAAAUUGUUGUAUUACGUAGUUGAUAAUUAUCUCAAGUGUCUUAAAAUAUAAAUAAUGCUUAUAGAUCACCACGCGGUAAAAAAUUCAAAAGACAGAUUCUAAUUUCAUUCUGGUAUUUAAGCUCCAAUUAAUUUCAUUUGAUUACAAUUAUAUUUUAGAAUAUUGUAAGCAUCAAAAUUCCAACUAUAAUUUACUACCUACUGUAUAUAAAACCAAUAUGGGUUUUGGUGCAGUAGAUGAAGCUGCUCUAUCCUUAAUCAAAGGUGGAGUGUUUGAUCCUGAGUACGGAGAAAGCUUUGUUAGGGAGCGCUUCCCCCCAAAUGGAGCCCUACGCGGCGCGAAUCUGAAUUAGUCGGGCUCUAAUGCAGGUACCGGACACUGAAUAAAAAAUCAAUAAUAUAUAUANNNNNNNNNNNNNNNNNNNNNNNNNNNNNNNNNNNNNNNNNNNNNNNNNNNNNNNNNUAUAUAUAUUGAAAGGAAAAUGUGAAAGAAAAUUUAGGCAAUAAUUAUAAAGAGGUGUUUAAAUUGACUUUUCAAAAGCAACUUAUAAGUUAAAAAUCAAAAAUCAUAAAUUGAUAUUACCUUACUUUUAUUUUUUGACUUACUUUGACACUUUUUAACUUAAAAAUAAAUGCUUAAAAGGAUUAUUUUUACUUUUUCAAACACUAUCAAAAUCUAAAAAAUAAGAAAAAGUCAAAAAAUAUCUUAAAAAAAUUCAGGCCAUAUUUCUAACGAAACCUGGUGUGAAGGUUGGGAUCUCUUAAUUCAUCUUUAACUAAAGUUUCGAGUUAAAAACGUGAUCAAAAAAUAUAAUUGAGGUCUAAUAUAAAUAUGUUUAAUACAAGAUCAAAACCCAAAAUAAAGAAGAAAAAGAAUUUAGGACUUAUCAGCUUUUAUCAGCAACAUCAUUAUCCACUAGGGCAUGACAAAGAGAGAGAAGGUUCAAACUUCAAACAUAGAAUAACGUUAAAAUGUGCUUUAGUUAAGUAGGAACAAGACACGGUCGUAUGUGUCAGCACAAAGAUUGCUUAUAAAAUAUCUCAUCUUUACACUUUAGCUGAAAAAAAGGGAUUUGGACAGAGAGAUUUUCUAAAUUUCAAAACAAAUCAAUUUUUAGUGUUUCAAUCAAUCUUGCUUAGGAAAAGCAAAAAAGGGGAAGGUUCCUUUCUUCAUUUCUUGGUUUUAGAACACCACAAGUACUAAUUAUAUAUAGUUUGCUUCAACUGAGAUCUUCAACUUGAGAGCUAUAUACACAGACAGACAUGUUGGAAGGAAAAGGUGUGAUUGAAGAUACAGAUAUGCCAGUGAAGAUGCAGAUCCAAGCUAUGCGUUUGGCUUCUCAGGCUCUGGAUGUUUAUGAUGUUUUGGACUACAGAUCCAUUGCUGCUCAUAUUAAAAAGGUAAUUAAUUCUGUCUGUCUUUUCGUUGGUUUGUGUGACCAAUCUAAAAGUUUGAAUUGUUAGGGAGGUGUAUUUUUAUUUUCUUGAUAUAUUUUUGAUAGAUCAUUGUGCAUUGACUUAAUUCCUUUUCAUCAUGAGCCAAAUGAUAAGUUUUCUAGAUUAGUUGACCACACAAUUAUUCAACAUGUAAUCACAAUGUCUUGGCUAUACAAUUAAUCUUGGGCUUCCAUAUUUUGUUACACACACACCUUCCAGUCUAGUACUGGAGGUGUAGGGUGACGAUUGUUCUACAUUCGUUGAGAGAAUGAGUCGCCCUCCUCAUAUGAAAUGAGGAGUACUCGUCGCACCCGGGUGCUAGUUUUUAUGAUUGAAUUAGGUCAAAGGUACAUUUUCUUAAUACGGUCAGAGAAUAUGAGAAAAAAGAAAUUUUACGCAUUUCAAUAACAACAAACUCAGUGUGUUCCCACAAAGUGGGAUCUAGGGAGGGUAAGAUGUAAGCGGUCUAAACCGCUACCUCGGAAGAAGUAGAGAGAUUGUUUCCAAUAGACCCUCGGCUCAAGAUAAGAUAAAGAAUAGUAAACAAGAUUAAGACGUGAAUGUAAAGCAAGUGUUUUGUCAUACAUGUGGAAAAGACUUAAAAAGAUACAUUUGAUUAAGUAAUUUUUUCUAACAGGAUAUGUUGGGCCUUCUUCAUACAAUAUUUUUUCCUGAAAGUUUUGGGGUUGUGUAUAUAUGCAGGAGUUUGACAAGAAAUAUGGGGGUGGCUGGCAGUGCGUGGUGGGAUCAAAAUUCGGGUGUUACUUCACUCAUACUAAAGGAACAUUUAUCUAUUUCACCUUGGAGACUCUUAACUUCCUCAUCUUCAUAGGAGCCACUUCUCCUUAAUGAGAUUUUGAUUGUGAAAACAAGACUUGUAAUUACUCUUAGCCUAAUAACUUCACUCACUAUUAGAGGAUUGGAAAUUAGUAAUUUUAGCCAAUUUCCGCACAAAUGAGAAUUGUACGGGGCAGAUCAUGUUUCCCUUGUUGGACUCUUGUCCCUUGGUACUUUUUGAAUCCUCAAAGAGAACAAAAUUUGUCACUUCUUAGAGUGAAAAGUUGGAUUUCCUCAAUAUCCUAUUUCUGAAACCUGAACAACACUGAUUAUAAUAAUGAUAGUGUCCGGACCAACUUACGUGCGCCUUCCAUCCAAUUGGCAUAGUUCAGGUUCGUUUAUAUUUUCUGGGGCCUCUGAGGUGUUAGCAGCCAAAUCCAUCUGUGGUGGAUCCAAACCUGCUCUUCAUUAGGCAUACCAACAAUAGACACACUCAGAAGUCAGAACCACAGUACCAUUCUUCAAAGCAACAAACAAGAAUUACCAGUGUGUAAGAAGUAGGAACAUAUUAAGACAAAAUAUCACAAAGGAUGGUGAGAACAAAGACCUCACUGUACUACUAUCAACCAUCUUCACAUGUUUCCAAUUAGCACAAGAAAGAGGGGCAUGCCCAAAUUUAUUAGCUUGAACCAGUGAAACACUUAGCAUCUUACUGAAUGACGAAUAUAAAAGCGAAGGAAUCAACUAUGACCUAAGUGCAAGAUCAUCAGACCACUUUUUUUAUUAAUAACCAAGUGUUUGCGGUAGAAUUCAGAACUCAAGAGGGAUGCAGCAUUAUUACACGAGAACUUCUCCGGAGAUCACCCAUCCUAGUACUUCCAAGAUCAUCAGACCUUAACCAAAAAGUAUCAAAGGACAGGAGUUAGCAAUGGCUUGUUCGAAAAGUAUGCCUCCAAGCUUGCAACCACAAGGUCGGCCCUCUCCUUACGGCUCUCCGCAGUGGCAGCUGAGAUAUGAGGUGAUAAUACAACAUUAUCAAGUUUAGCUAGUUGCAUAGGCACUUCAGGUUCAUGUUCAAGAACAUCAAGCCCUGCUCCUCCCAACCUGCCUUCUGCAAGGGCAGAAACCAGCUCAGGUUCAUCAAUAUGAGAACCCCUUGCAAUGUUAAUAACAACUCCAUUCGGACCCAAGGCGUCUAUAACUUCACGGUUGAUGAUGUGGUGAGUUUCUUCUGUUAAGGCACAAGCGACGACAAGGAUCUGGCAGUUGGAGGCCAAGUCGACAACACAUGGAUAGUAGGUGUACGUUGACUCUGGUUUUUGUGAACGUGAAUGGUAACUGAUUGAACAUCCAAAAGCUUCAGCUCUCUUGGCAAUUGCUGAACCAAUCCUCCCUAAGCCUACAAUACCUACUGAUUUGCCGCUAAACUGAAAGAAAAAUGGAAGCGUAAACCAAGAUAUGUUGGGUUCAUAGCAUAUGAAAGAAGUGUGAAUGGAAAAAUGGUGAAUAAAAUGGUGGAGGGGAAGGAGACACUAAAAUGGAAAGUGUACUCUCAAAUUAGAAAGUUUACUCUUUCUCCCACAUUGGUGGAAGAAGAGUACUUGAAAGUGUUUAUAAUCAAGAACGCUUACUCCACAUGGCAAGUGAGGCAAGAAAUAAUAGAUGCCUCGCUCAUCGCUCGGCUUCGGCUUCGGCAAAUGUUCGAUCGAUGAGAUCAAACUUCCUCUUUUCAGAAGAGGCAUGUUGUGGCUAUAUAAACCUGGUUUCGUCCACAGGUUUAGUACGAAAAUUUUCAAUUAAAAAAACUCUCUUCUUGUCUCAAAAAUAUUCUGUGUGAUCACUCAAAACGUUCUGUGAGUUCGAAGAUAUUCCAACCAUUUGAGGUACCGCUACUGUUGGUCUGUUAGCCAUUUUAUCCUGCGAGGAAAAAUUUCACAACCCCAUUAUUUCCUUAAGGGAAAUCCGUGAAUUCGAACGACUUGGCUAUUUUUUGUUUAAUCUUAAUUUCUGCAAAAUAAAAUACACCUCUUGGAAAGGUCAUUUUGAUCUUGUGUUGAGGGUAUUUGAUAUACUUCAUUAUGUUCUUGUUUAUACUUGAACUCAAGUUGAAGUUGGUGUUGUAAUAUACAGAUUCUGUGUACCCGAAGUACAAAUGAAGUAACAAUCUUAAGGAAAUAAGUACUAUUACAGAAUCUGUAUUGCUUGUUUUUGGAGAUUAAAGUUUUAACUUUCUACUCCGCCUGAACUUAACUAGUGAUUUGAGGUCAUAAAAACUUCGUCACAAGUUAAAGAUCAUUCGGUUGACAAUUGGAAGUCAUAAAAACUUCAUUGUUAACUAGAAACAAAAAAAAAAAAAAUUUUUAUAAGUAGUAUUCUGAAAAUACUAAGUAUUUUUUGUUUUGUGGUGAUAGAAAAAUGGCAAUUGAAAGUCAAAUGAUGGAUGCGACAACGUCUGUGGGGGCAACUAAUAUUGCCACAUCAAGUCGCACAAAUGCUCCGCCAACAAUGGCACCGGCGGAGAAGCCCGGAAAAUUUUCGGGCAUUGACUUCAAGAGGUGGCAGUAAAAGAUGUUCUUUUACCUCACCACUUUAUGUCUGCAACGGUUCACUAGCGAAGAUGCUCCUGAGGUACCCGAGGAAACCUCAGACAAAGACUGUUUCGUUAUUGUAGAAGUUUGGAAACAUUCGGACUUCCUUUGUAGGAAUUAUAUUCUGAGUGGUCUCCAAGACGACCUCUACAAUAUUUAUAGUAGAACCAAGACAUCAAAGGAACUGUGGGGGGGCACUUGAACAAAAAUAUAAGAUGGAGGAUGUGGGAGAUAGCCUAAACACUAAGAAAUCAAGAAAUUUGGGGUUCAACAAACAAUUUCCAGCAAACACAAUAAAAGAAAACAACACACAAAGAAAAGGGGAGAAGGUGAAGAUUGCAUAAGAUGAAAAGAUAGUAAAGUAAUCCUUACUUCCACAAGUGAAUAGCACUAGAAAGUGUAUCAAACCAAAACACACAUCACCAUGUAAGUUCAAACCACUCUCUUAGGUGACCCAAAGGAAACACUUUUCCCCAAGCACACCUUUCUUGCCAAUUAUCCAAGACAAAUGAAAACCCAAACUUUCAAGUGUUCAAGGAUCAAUUUACAGAUUCUACUCUCUCUACAAAGCUAAAACUACAAUAUAGAAGUAAGUUCAAUGUCAUCAAAAGUCUAAUGAAAAUACAAGCUAAAGGGUUUAUUUAUACUUAUUACAACCAAUGACCAAAAUACUCUUAAUGAAGAGUGCUCCUUUGGAGUGUAAAAACAAGUUAUUAAAAGACAAAAAUGCCCUUAAUGAAUAGGCCCCUAUGUGUUGUAGGAAUCCCUCCUUCUCUCUUCAUUUGAACAAGGCUUUGUAAUGUCUCCAAAAGGGUCUUCUAGUACUUGUAAAUUCAGAAGCUUGUUCCUUUGAGAAGUCCUUGCAAUCCUUAUGCACUUUAGUCUUGUAUCACACGGUUCCUGGACUUCAAAAUGAUAGUUAGCAAAUCUGUUGUAUCUCAAGUACAGGAGUUGCAAGUCAUCAUACAUGAUCUCCUAGCAAAAGGUUUAAUUGUGAAUGAUGUUUUCCAAGUAGCAGCGAUAGUUGAGAAGUUACCACCUUUGUGGAAAGACUUCAAAAACUACUUAAAGCAUAAACGCAAGGAGAUGACUGUUGAAGAUCUUAUUGUCCGACUUCGUAUUGAAGAGGAUAAUAAAGCUGCCGAAAGAAGGUCAGAGGGGAAUUCUAUAAUUAAUGGAGCACAUAUUGUAGAAGAUGACCAAAACAAUUCCAAGAAAAGGAAGAAAGCUGAACAAGGAAGCAAUCAACCCAAGAAAAAGUUCAAGGGAAAAUGCUUCAACUGUGGCAAAAUUGGCCACAAGUCCACAGAUUGUCGUGCCCCAAAGAAAGACAAGAAGAAGGAUCAAGCAAAUAUGAUUGAAUCCAACAAAGAAUGCGAUGAUCUGUGUGCUGUGUUCUCAGAAUGCAACUUGACGGGGAAUCCUCGCGAAUGGUGGAUGGAUUCUGGUGUCACCCGCCAUGUAUGUGCCAACAAGGAGUUGUUUUCUUCAUUUGCUCCGGCUUAAGUAGAAGAAAUGAUCUACAUGGCUAACUCCACUACUGCUAAGGUGGAGGGAACACGAAAAAAUUGCUUAAAGAAGACUUCCGGCAAGGUCUUGACACUGAACAAUGUGUUAUAUGUUCCGGAGUUAUGUAGGAACUUAAUUUCUGUUUCACUCCUAGAUAAGAACGGAUUUAAAUGUGUAACCGUUUCUGGAAAAAUUGUAAUUAGCAAAGGAGAAAUGUAUGUAGGAAAAGGCUAUUUGACCAAAGGCCUUUAUAAGAUGAAUGUAAUGACGGUUGAAAUAAAUAAAAGUUCAAAUUCUUCUUAUUUGCUUGAGUCUUAUGAUUUAUGGCAUGAACGCUUAGGCCAUGUUAAUUAGAAAACAUUAUGAAAACUGAAUAACUUAGAAGUUUUGCCAAACUUUGAGUGCAAUAAAUCAAAGUGUCAAACGUGUGUGGAAUCGAAGUAUGCAAAACAUCCUUAUAAGUCUGUUGAAAGGAAUUUCAAUCCCUUAGACUUAAUACACACUGAUAUUUGUGAUAUGAAGUCAACACCAUCACGGGGUGGGAAAAGUAUUUCACAACUUUUAUUGACGAUUGCACUAGAUAUUGUUAUGACUACUUGCUAAAUAGUAAGGAUGAAGCAAUAGAUGCNNNNNNNNNNNNNNNNNNNNNNNNNNNNNNNNNNNNNNNNNNNNNNNNNNNNNNNNNNNNNNNNNNNNNNGGGGCGGAGAAUAUGAAUCUCCCUUUGCGCAAAUAUAUGUAGAGAAUGGAAUAAUCCAUCAAACUACAACCCCAUAUUCACCUCAAUCUAAUGAAAUUGCGGAAAGGAAAAAUCGAACUUUGAAGGAAAUGAUGAUUGACUUACUUAUAAGUUCUGGUUUACCACAAAACGUAUGGGGGGAGGCUAUCCUUACGACCAAUCGUAUACUCAACAGAGUUCCCAUAGUAAGACACAAUCAAUUCCUUACGAAAAAUGAAAAAGAAGGAAACCCAACUUGCAAUAUUUCAAAGUGUGGGGGUGUCUAGCGAAGGUUCAAGUUCCUAUACCUAAAAGGAUUAAGAUAGAACCUAAAACGGUGGACUGUGUGUUCAUAGGAUAUGCUAAAAGUAGUAAAGCAUGUUGAUUUUUGGUUCAUAAAUUCGCACAUCCGGAUAUUAAUGAAAAUACGGUAAUUGAAUCAGACAAUGCUGAAUUCUUUGAAAAUAUUUACCCGUAUAAAAUUAGACAUGAACAGUCGAGUGAAGGAUCUAAACACCUAGAGAUGAACCAAGUAAGAAUGUACAUAAUGAAGAAAAUCCAAGACGUAGUUCGCGUCAAAGAACGUCAACUUCGUUUGGAUCGUAUUUUGUAACAUUUCUCUUAGAAAAUAAGCCUCAAACAUUUAAAGAAGCGAUGUCGUCGUCAGACUCAUCCUUUUGGAAAGAGGCAGUCAAUAGUGAGAUAGAUUCAAUCUUAAGCAAUCAUACAUGGGAAUUGGUUGACCUUCCUCUCAGAAAUAAACCGUUAGGUUCUAAAUGGAUCUUCAAAAGAAAAAUGAAGGCGGAUGGUACUAUUGACAAAUACAAGGCAAGACUUGUAGUAAAAGACUUCAAACAGAAGGAAGACCUUGAUUACUUUGAUACAUACUCGCUAGUAACAAGGAUAACCUCGAUUCAAAUGUUAAUUGCCUUGGCGGCGGUAUAUGAUCUUUAAAUCCAUCAAAUGGAUGUGAAGACCGCAUUCCUAAAUGGAGAUUUGGAAGAAGAAAUAUACAUGGAACAACCUGAGGGUUUUGUGAUUCCAGGAAAAGAAAAUAAGGUGUGUAAACUUGUUAAGUCACUUUAUGGACUAAAAAAAGCACUUAAGCAAUGACAUGCAAAGUUUGACCAAACCAUGUUGGCAAACAAAUUCAAGGUAAAUGAAUGUGACAAAUGUGUAUAUUAAAAACACACCAAAUCACCAAGUCAUUGUUUGUUUAUAUGCGGAUGAUAUGCUGAUCAUAAGCAGAGAUAUUUGUGACAUAAAUGCAACCAAACGAAUGCUCGAGAGCAAGUUUGAUAUGAAAGACCUUGGAGUUGCAAAUGUGAUCUUAGGUAUAAGAAUCCAUCGAACUCCACAAGGGUUAGCAUUGUCACAGUCUCAUUAUAUCGAAAAAGUACUUGACAAGUUCAAGUAUAUAGAAUUCGGUAUUGCCAAGACUCCAUUGGAUGCGAGCUUUGUACUUUGAAAGAAUGAAGGUGAAAGUGACUUGGAGUACGCAAGAGUAUUGGGAUGUUAAAUGUAUAUAAUGAACUGUACACGACCAGACAUAACAUGUGCAAUUAGUAAAUUGAGUCGGUACACGAGUAAUCCCAACAAAACUCAUUGGAUGGCAAUGAAAAGAGUUUUGGGGUAUCUUAAAUACACUCAAAACUAUGCUUUGCAUUAUAAUAAAUAUCCUGCGGUACUUGAAGGAUAUAGUGAUGCAAAUUGGAUCACNNNNNNNNNNNNNNNNNNNNNNNNNNNNNNNNNNNNNNNNNNNNNNNNNNNNNNNNNNNNNNNNNNNNNNNNNNNNNNNNNNNNNNNNNNNNNNNNNNNNNNNNNNNNNNNNNNNNNNNNNNNNNNNNNNNNNNNNNNNNNNNNNNNNNNNNNNNNNNNNNNNNNNNNNNNNNNNNNNNNNNNNNNNNNNNNNNNNNNNNNNNNNNNNNNNNNNNNNNNNNNNNNNNNNNNNNNNNNNNNNNNNNNNNNNNNNNNNNNNNNNNNNNNNNNNNNNNNNNNNNNNNNNNNNNNNNNNNNNNNNNNNNNNNNNNNNNNNNNNNNNNNNNNNNNNNNNNNNNNNNNNNNNNNNNNNNNNNNNNNNNNNNNNNNNNNNNNNNNNNNNNNNNNNNNNNNNNNNNNNNNNNNNNNNNNNNNNNNNNNNNNNNNNNNNNNNNNNNNNNNNNNNNNNNNNNNNNNNNNNNNNNNNNNNNNNNNNNNNNNNNNNNNNNNNNNNNNNNNNNNNNNNNNNNNNNNNNNNNNNNNNNNNNNNNNNNNNNNNNNNNNNNNNNNNNNNNNNNNNNNNNNNNNNNNNNNNNNNNNNNNNNNNNNNNNNNNNNNNNNNNNNNNNNNNNNNNNNNNNNNNNNNNNNNNNNNNNNNNNNNNNNNNNNNNNNNNNNNNNNNNNNNNNNNNNNNNNNNNNNNNNNNNNNNNNNNNNNNNNNNNNNNNNNNNNNNNNNNNNNNNNNNNNNNNNNNNNNNNNNNNNNNNNNNNNNNNNNNNNNNNNNNNNNNNNNNNNNNNNNNNNNNNNNNNNNNNNNNNNNNNNNNNNNNCUCAUUGGAUGGCAAUGAAAAGAGUUUUGGGGUAUCUUAAAUACACUCAAAACUAUGCUUUGCAUUAUAAUAAAUAUCCUGCGGUACUUGAAGGAUAUAGUGAUGCAAAUUGGAUCACCGGAUCGAACGAAGUAAAAUCCAUAAGUAGAUAUGUAUUUACUAUCGGUGAAGGAGCAGUUUCUUGAAAAUCAUCCAAACAGACUUGUAUUGCUCGCUCUACAAUGGAAUCUGAAUUUAUCGCAUUAGAUAAAGCCGGUGAAGAAGCAGAAUGGCUCCGAAAUUUCUUGGAAGAUAUUCCGUAUUGGCCCAAGCCAGUGACACCAGUAUGUAUACACUGUGAUAGCCAAGCGGCAAUAGGUAGGGCAGGGCGCAUGAUGUACAACGGUAAAUCUCAUCACAUAUGAUGGAGACAUAAUACCGUUAGAGAAUUUCUCUCUAGUGGUAUUAUCACUAUUGACUAUGUAAAGUCAAAGGAUAAUGUGUCGGAUCCACUUAUAAAAGGCCCAUCUAGAGAAGGAGUGGAAAGAACAUCCAAGGAAAUAGGUUUAAGGCCUAGGACGAGUCAGCAUGGUGGUACCUCUACCUAGCAGACUGGAGAUCCCAAGAGCUAGGUUCAAAGGGAUCAAACAAAAUUGUGUCUGGCAGGUUCAACAUUGUCAAUUACUCAACCCAUUCGCAUGAUAUAGACAAUGUAUAGUAAACUAGGAUAAGACUUAAGGUGAAAAGUCUUUUAAUGAUUAUCUAAAUUUGACAGAUUUGACCAAAUAGUUUAAUCUACAGGAUUGAACGUUUAGAAAUCACCUAUGUGAGGUGAAGUGGAAGCCGCUUCAAAGAGAAUGUUAGUAAAGGUCUAUUCUCUAAGCUCUCAUGAAACCGGGACGUGGUCAUGGCUGAAAAGAACAAAACCAUGAAAACCAUAAACGUUAAAAGGUUGGUUGUGUGACAUGUAUUGUCUAGGUGUAUAUUAAAGCUCGACGGUUCAAAGAUAUCAAAUCUACCGAUUGACCGAGUGCAUCCGAUGCAUGUUCACUACGGAAAGUUCAAAGGAAAACCCACCUAUCCAGAUGCAAUCAGUCUUUCGGAUUUGGAUUUGGAUUUGGAUUUAGCAAAUGAUCGAUCGAUGAGAUCUAUCUUUUUGGACAAACUUUAUUUGAAUUUCGAAGAAUGCCAAGGAAAAAUGUAGUAAAUUUUUUUCUACAGUUUCGGACCUCCAUUUAUAUAUACAUGCAGUAACAGUUGUACUGUUUCAAUUGAACUGAUGCAUUAUUUUCGAACUAGUGCUUCAGAAAUGAUACAUUGUUCUGAACUGAGGCUACAAAAGGUUGCAAUGGUUCGAAAUGAUGCUUCAGAAGGAUGUAAUCCUUCAAUGAAGUGACACACUGAUUCAUGAAAUGAGAUGACUGUUCAGGAGAAGAUGUAAUCUUUGAUGAACAGACAUGAACUUACAGCAAAGAUGUAACCUUUGGAGUGAACCAUUGUCUCUUUUCAGAAGAAGCAUGUUGUGGCUAUAUAAACCUGGUUUCUUCCACAGGUUUAGUACAAAAAUUUUCAGAUUAAAAAACUCUUUUCUUGUCUCAAAAAUAUUCUGUGUGAUCACUCAAAAUGUUCUGUGAGUUCGAAGAUAUUCCAACCAUUUGAGGUACCGCUACUGUUGUUCUGUUAGCUAUUUUAUCCUGUGAGGAAAAAUUUCACAACCUCGGGUACAGUGAGGGGGAUUAUUUCCUUUAUUAAAAUUCAUGAAUUCGGACGACUUGGCUAUUUUCUGUUUCAUUUUAAUUUCUGCAAAAUAACAUACACCUCUUGGAAAGGUUAUUUUGAUCUUUUGUUGAGGAUAUUUGAUAUACUUCAUUGUGUUCUUGUUUAUACUUGAACUCAAGUUGAAGUUGGUGUUGUAAUAUACAGAUUCUGUAUACCCGAAGUACAAACGAAGUAACAAGAUAUGCUCUUAGGAGAAACAAAACUUAGUUAGGAGAAAGUGAAAAGCUAAUAUGGUUCAUGAAGUGUUUUAUUUUUUUAUAAAUCUGGUGGUCAGGUUAGUUUGCGCAUACCUCGACUAAGUUCACGAGAUACUUGGCACCUCCCACCAGUAAUAGUUACCCACUAAGGCCACACCCUCGAGCAUAGAAGCUGAUCACAAAAUUCUAGUGAUUUUUCUUAUCUAUCUCAAGCCUUGAUGAACAGAGCUAUCAAAUGCAUGUAUUGGUGGGAGAUAACAGGUAACCUACGAGAUGUUUCUACUAGAUUCAACUAAGAUACGAACAAGUAAGCAAAAGCGGCUAAAAGAAGUACCUUCGUAGUCAAGCUGAAAUCCUUUUGCUUCCACAUCCCAUUCCUGACGAAGCGAUCAGCUUCACAUAUCCUCCUCAAUGUUGCAAUUAUUAGUAAAAUGGCCAUGUCUGCAACAGCAUCUGAAACAACAUCGGGUGUGUAAGUGACCCUAAUCCCUCUCUCUUUACACUUCACCAAAUCAAUCUUGUCAAGCCCAGAACUGUGACUCGAUACAAUUUCCAAUCUUGGCAGCAUAUCGAUCAAUGCAGCAUCGGUUCCCAGUCCUCCAAUCCCCCCCCCCCCCCCCCCACCCCCACUGCUCGGAUGGAAUCCGCAUGUAGUUUGAGAGAUUCAUAGUGAAUUUCCCAGUACUUGAAGAGGGUGAAACGUUUGGACAGCUCUUGCUGCAGGUAAUUGGACAAUGGACGCAUCAAUAAUACCCCUAUCUCUUCCAUUUCUGCUUACCACAACAAAAGGAGAUCUCUUUGACACUACUCAAAAAACCUUUGGUGUCCUGUUUUAUGUUGUUCAAGAUUUGAUAUACUCAUGUUUUUGAAACAGUUUCUUGACUUCUUCCGUGGACCCAUGGAAUUAAAUGAACACAUGUUAAAUUUAACUAGAGGAUGAAGGAGAGGUUGUAUUCUUAACACGACAACAAUAAAGUACAGUACAAUUGUCACUACAAGUUCGAUGAGUUUUCGACAAAGUUUUUACCUUCUUGUUUCUCCGUCUAAAUAAUCUGAUAACUCCUAAUGUAAAUGUCCAGACGGUUUGAAUGAUACAAACUUCAAAUAUUAAGCGAGCAUCAAUUUUCAGGAACGGAUCUAAACAAAAUGACUUAGCAAUCAACACCGCCAAUUUGAAUACGAGUUCUGUAAUAAGUUCUUCCAUUAAACCGUCAACAUUAUAUCUUCAAACUUAUUAUUUUAUAUUAAUAAUUCGAUACACAUAUUUUUUUCUUUUGCUACAUCUGGACAUUAUUUCUACUUUUGUUGUAUACUCCCUUCAUUUUUUUAUUUGCGUAUAUUUUGAGUAUUUGCUUUUUAAUCUUUCAAAAAUAAUUUAAAUAAAAUCUUCCUAUUGUAUCCUUAUUCAAUAAAUAUAAUCACUAGUAAUUUGGAAACAGAUAUAAAAUUUAAUUAGAAAUAUAUUGAUAAAAUAAGAGUAAGAAAUUUAUUAAGGGGUGUGUCCAAUCCAAAUGAAGUGAGUGACUUUUUGCUGUUAUUUCAUAACUAAUUAUUUCCUUUAUUUUAAAAAGAAUGAUCUAGUUUGACUUGACACGGAUUUGAAGAAAAUAAAACAUACUGAAAUUUGUGAUCCUAAAUUAAAGUUAUGUUCAAUUUAUCAAAAUACUCUUUACUAUUAUAAUAUUAAACAUGUCACGUGAAAAGUUAAAAUUAAAAUAUUAUCAAAAAAAAAAAUAUCAUUCUUUUUAAAAUAAGGGGAAAAAAAAUAUGUCACUCUUUUUUAAAGUGGGAGGGCGGGAGGUAUUUUAACUAUCAAACGACGCCCUAAGAGAAGUAGGAAUAUAUGUAGUAGUUUCUUUUUAAAAAAAAUAAAAAAAAUUGUGUCUAAUACCCACAUUAGAGUGUUGAUUAAUUCGGAUUACAUAUCAGAGGGUUCAUGGGAUGUAUGACGCUUUCAAUAAAAUUUUCUCAGACCUAAGACUUGAACCCAAAACCUAUGAUAAAGGAUAAAACUAUUUGACUGUCGCACCACAACCCACGUUGGCUGUGCAGUAAUUCCUAUUCGACCCACGUUGGCGGUGCAGUAAUUCCUAUUCGUUUGUUGUUGGAUGAUCUAUUGGGUAGCUAAAACUGAAGGUGGAAUAGUUGUGCUCUUCAAUAGGGCGUAAGUAGUAGUAAUGAGAUAAAUAUGAACUUAUGACAUGACUGAGAUGGUUGGUGGCAGUGGGGAAGCCAGAAUUUUAGGUAUAUUAAUGUUAUUAGUGGGGUCCGAAUCCACGUCUUUCACCUCUUCUCCGCUGUACAAGUAUCCUAUAUUUAUAUGUGGGUUCACAGCUAUGUAUUUUAUAUAUUAUUUCUGAAUUUUAUAAUAUAAAUACAGGAUCUAUGUAAAAACUACUGGGUUCGGCCGAACCCCCAAAUACCCUCUAGCUCCGCCUCUGGUUAGUGGCAUGAGCACUGUUUGACGAAAGGAACCUUCGACUUCAACACAAAACCAACCCAAGGGACAUUUUUAUGUGAAAGAAACAAUAAACACGAUUGGGUUGUUUCGACUUUUUCCUUUUUUUGAUACAUAAGAAUUUGAAUUGAAAAUAAAUUUACAUGAUAUUUGUGGCUAUCAAUCAUGUUGUUAAUGUUAUACACCUACAAAGAUCGUUCUAGUUGAAUAGUUCUUGCAAUAUUUCCCUAAAAAAUAUAGUAGUUGACAUGCAUAGUAAUUGGUAUUCCUAUUAUGAACCAGUAAACUACGUACAAAAUGUUUUUGAAAGACAAAUUGAGUUCUGUUAUGUUAUGAACCAAUUGUCCACAUUGAAAAAAUAAAGAAAUGUUAAGGGAAUUAUAAGUUAAAUGGGUUCUCUCGCCUAUUAAACUAGUCUUUUGGGUUGGGCUCUUCCAUUUGGUUUAUAACAUUGGUGCUUUCAUUGAGAGUUCCACGCGUUGGGUUGUGACUCAAAGUGAUGGUCUGUGAGCUAGGAGUGGUGGCCUGUGAACCCAAAAGGGGUGCCAGCCGUGACCAACUGGGCGUAGCCGUGACCAACGAGGAUCGAUCCACGUGUGGAAAGCCACGCUUUGGGCCGUGACUUGUAAUGGUAGCCUGAACCCAAGAGGGAUGCCAGCCAUGACCAACGAGGAUCGAUCCAUACGUGGAGCCACAACUUGGAGUGGUGGCCUAGAUCUAAGAGGGGUGCCAGUCGUGACCAACUGGGCUCAACCGUAACCAACGAGGUCGUUGGUUCUCAAACGGAGGCGAUUGUUAUGAACCAAUUGUCCCACAUUAAAAAAAUAAAGAAAUGCUAAGGAAAUUAUAAGCCAAAUAGGUUCCCCACCUAUUAGAUUAGUUUUUUGGGUUGGACUUAAUUUUUUGAAUUGGAUUUAAUUUUUUGGGUUGGAAUCUCCCGUUUGAUUUAUAACAUCUUACCAGAAAUAGAUGACUGCAGUGGGGAUAUUAUUCGGUGGAAGAGAGAAAACUAGACUAGUUUGAAGAGACAGAGAUUACCAAAACAAGGAAUAUAGUGAUUGAUUUAAAUUGCUAUUAUAUUAAUAUUACUUAUUAAGUUGAACAUUCAUCUCAAGUGUCUUAAAAUACUCAAAAUGAACUUCUGGACCCCUGUAUUAUGUCAGUUUUGUAAGUUGGACACUUCUACUUACAUGUUUGUCAUCUAGACCCUUGAUUCCAUCCAAAAACAAUAUUUUGCACCCUUUGACCGUUGACCUUGCCUAUGUGGCAAGGUCAUGGUAACUAGGACAAAGAGAGUGUAGUCAUUCGCCUGGGGUGCGAGUGAGGGUUAAUUUUUGGUCAAUUUUACAUUAAAAUAAUUUUAAAAAAUAUUAAAUUUUUUAAAAAAAAUUAAAAAGGAUCCUUUUUUUUCCUCCAUCUUUUUAAAUUUAAAAAUAUUUUUAAAAAUUAAAAAAAAAAAUAAAAAGGGGUCCUUUUUUCCCUCCUCUUUUUUAAUUUAAAAAUUUUUAAAAAUAAAAAUAUAUUUUUCCCUCCCCAUCCCCCCACCCCACCCAGCCCCGUCCCACCCCACCCCAACACCCGUNNNNNNNNNNNNNNNNNNNNNNNNNNNNNNNNNNNNNNNNNNNNNNNNNNNNNNNNNNNNNNNNNNNNNNNNNNNNNNNNNNNNNNNNNNNNNNNNNNNNNNNNNNNNNNNNNNNNNNNNNNNNNNNNNNNNNNNNNNNNNNNNNNNNNNNNNNNNNNNNNNNNNNNNNNNNNNNNNNNNNNNNNNNNNNNNNNNNNNNNNNNNNNNNNNNNNNNNNNNNNNNNNNNNNNNNNNNNNNNNNNNNNNNNNNNNNNNNNNNNNNNNNNNNNNNNNNNNNNNNNNNNNNNNNNNNNNNNNNNNNNNNNNNNNNNNNNNNNNNNNNNNNNNNNNNNNNNNNNNNNNNNNNNNNNNNNNNNNNNNNNNNNNNNNNNNNNNNNNNNNNNNNNNNNNNNNNNNNNNNNNNNNNNUUUAAAUUAGUUGGGGAAGAAUUUUGAUUAUUUGGAAUGGAUUUGAUGUUUAAUUUGUGAGAAAAAAUAAAAACAUGAUUAUUCAAAUUUUUCUACAAUUUAUAAAUUUUUCUUAUUUAAUUAAAUUAAUUUUAAUAUUUAAUUUGUUAUGUAACAUUUUAAAAAUGACUUGGAAUUUAAUGUAAUUUUUUUUAAAUGACGUGGCAGGAGUGGCAGCUGACAUGGCAGCUGAUGUGGGAGAGAGUGUGUUACACUCACCAAAAAAGGGUUUAAAAUGUUGUUUUUUAGUAGAUUCAGGGUCCAGAUAACUAACAUGUAAGUAGAAGUGUCCAACUUACAAAACCGACAUAGUACAGGGAUCCAGAAGGUCAUUUUGCACUUAAAAUAUAAUCAAUGUUUAUAAAUCAACAUGUGGUAUAAAAUUCAGAAAAUAUAAGAAGAAGAUAAUGUCACAUCUUUUUUAUUUGAUUACAAUCUUAUUUUAAAAUAUGGUAAACAUGAAAUUCCAAGCCAUAGUACUAAAAUAUAUAUAGUCAUUUUUAAAAAGAAAAUUUAAGCAGCAAAUAAAUAAAGAAAAAAAGUUGGAAAUCACGAUCAUCAAGCAAAGAUGACAAAUUUACUUGUACAAAUUAUUGAACGAGGUAGGUGAUAGAGCUAUUGUGCUAGAAAAUUUAGAGCACUCUAAGAGAUAUAGGAAUUUUAGAUAUUAUGGAUGUAUUAUGGUCGAGAAAGUGGAGCAAUAUUAGUAAGAUGAGUAGGAGGAGAGCAACCGGACCUUAUGAGAUUCCUUGGAGUUUUGGAAGAGCUCGGACAGGUCAGGGAUGAAGUGGGUGAUUGAGUUGUUCAAUGUCAUUUUUAAGACGGCUACAAUAUUCGAGAAUAUAAUGAAGGUGGAGUACAAUGAUCCUAUUGUAUAAAAAUAAGGAUGUCAUCCAAAAUUACAACAAUUAUAGGGGUGUCAAUUUGUCAAGUCACGCUAUGAAAGUUUGGAAGCGAGCGAUGGAGAUGAUGGUGAGGGGUGUGUGUCCACAUCCGAGAACUAGUUUGAAUUCAUGCCGGGGCGAUCCACUAAGGAAGUCAUCCAUCUGGUGAGGAGACUGAUGGAGCAUUAUUGAACAAAAAAAAAAAGCAGGACUUAUAUAUAGUGUUCAUUGACAUUGAGAAAACCUACAACAAAAUUUUGAAGGAAGCUCUUUGGAGAUACCUGGAGGCUAGAGGUGUACCAAUAGCUUACAUUAGGGCGAUAAAGGACAUGUAUGAUAGAUAUAAGAUAUGGGUUGGGACGGUAGAAGGAGACUCGGAACAUUUUUCUGUAAAAAUGGGAUUGCACCAGGGUUCAACUCUUUGUCCUUUUUCUCUUUGUUGUAGUGAUGGAUGUAUUGACGCAGGUCAUCCAAGAUGAAGUGUCUUGAUGUAUGUUAUUUACAAAUGAUAUACUGCUGAUUGAUGAGACACGUAUCAACGUAGAUGAUAGGUUGGAGGUAUGGAGACAAAACUCUGAAACUAAAGAAUUUGAGUUGAGUAGGACCAAAAUGGAGUAUCUGAAGUGUAAAUUCAAUGAGGGGUUGCAUAAGGAAGACGUGGAAGUAUGUCUGGACACAUGCAUAGGCUCUCCCCAAGAGUGAUCGUUUUAAAUAUCUUGACUCUAUUUUUCAGGAUGCUGAGGUCAUAGACGGUGAUGUCACUCACCGUAUGAUGCGACGUGGAUGAAGUGCAGGCCUGCCUCUGGAGUCUUGUGUGAUAAAAAAAUGUUACCGAACUUAAAAGUAAGUUUUAUACAGUAAUGGUUAGACCAAUGUUGCUAUAUGGGUGGAGUGUUGGCCAAUAAAAAACUCUCAUGUUCAGAAGAUAUAUAUCGUGGAGAUGAGGAUGUUGGGAUGGAUGUGUGGACGUAUUAGGUGUGAUAGAAUUAAGAAUGAGGUUAUUCGAGAUAAGGGUGGGAUCGACCUCCAUGGUGGACAAGACAAAGGAAGUGAGAUUGAGAUGGUUUGGAUAUGUGAUGAGGCGGGGUUCAGACACCCUAAUGAUGAGGUGCGAGAGGCUGGAUAUAGUAGGCGCGAAGAAGGAUAAAGAUAGGCCGAAGUAGUAUUAGGGGAGGUGAUUAGACAGAACAUGACACAUAUUCAGGUUAUCAAGGCCAUGACCUUAGGUAGGGGAUAUGGAGGACACGUGUUAAAUGGAAUGUUAAUCGGCUAGGAGUAUUGUCGUGCACCAUAAUAUGGUGGCUUAAGGUUUAGCUGUAGCUAUCUAUCAUGUUGUUUAUUGCUUUUUGAUUACUGCAUUAUUUUAUGGCGAUUAGUAUUUUGCUGUGGUUGAUUGGUUGGUAUAUUUUUUUCACUAUUUUUCUCUUCUUUGUAUUUGAAUUUGCUACACUUGAACCGAACGUCUUUUAAAAAUAAUCUCUCUAUCUUUUUGAAGCAGUGAUAAAAUCUGCAUAUAUUUUACUUUCUCCAGACCUCACUUGAAGAAUUUUACGGGUAUGUUGUUGUAGUAGUUGGAAAUCACGAUGAUAAGUUUAGCCCUUAUCAGAUGUUAUCAUCCACAUCAUUAUCCAAUAGGGCAUGACAAAGAAAGAGAAGGCUUAAACAUAGAAUAACUUUAAAAUGUGCUUUAGGUAAGUAGGAAUAUACGACACGGUUGCAUGUGUCAGCACCAAAAUAUCUCACCUUUUCACUUUUGCUAAAAAAGGGAUUUAAACUGAGAAUUAUUGUUUCAAUCACUGUUUUCAUUUUCUUGCUUAGAGAUAAGAGAGGGAAAAGUUCAUUUCUCUAUUGUAUAAAUUGAAAUCUUCUACUUCAGAGCAAUAAACAAAGAGGGAAACAGAUACCAGUUGAGAAAAAUGCUGGAAGGGAAAGGGGUGAUUGAAGAUACAGACAUGCCUGUGAAGAUGCAGAUCCAAGCAAUGCGUUUGGCUUCUCAAGCUCUGGAUGUUUAUGAUGUUUUAGACUGCACAUCCAUUGCUGCUCAUAUUAAGAAGGUGAUUAAUUCUGUCUGGCUUUUCGUUGAAUUGUGUGACCAAAUCUAAAAGUUUAAACUGUUAGAGAAGCAUACUGUUACUUGCUUGAUUAUAUUUUUGACACUAUCAGCACGCGUUCUCUAGACAAGUUGACCACACAUUUCUAGAUAAGUUAUGUUAUACACCUUCCAGGAUGUGCAGGGUGUCCAAUGUUACAUUCAUUGAGUGAAUGAGCUGUUAUCCUCAUAUGAUAUUGAGGAAUCCUCAUCGCACCGUGAGCUAGUUUUUACGAUUGAAUUAGGACAAAGGUACAUUUUCUUAAUAUGGUAAGAGAAUAUGCAGAUGUUAUGAGUUCAAAUUCAUUAUCAAAAAAGAAAUUUUACGCGUUUGGUGCCUCAAAAAGAAUCAGAUCACAAAUGAGGGGGAAAAUAUAGUAUUAAUUAAGAGGGACAACCACAUGAUUGAGACGUAAAUGUAAAACAAGUGGUUUGUCACACAUGUGGAUAAUAGUUAAAAGAUACACUUGAAUAAAUUUUUCUAACAGGAUAUGUUGGGCCUUCUUCAUACAAUAUUUUUUCUGAAAGUUUUGGGGUUGUGUAUAUAUGCAGGAGUUUGACAAGAAAUAUGGGGGUGGCUGGCAGUGCGUGGUGGGAUCAAAAUUCGGGUGUUACUUCACUCAUACUAAAGGAACAUUUAUCUAUUUCACCUUGGAGACUCUUAACUUCCUCAUCUUCAAAGGAGCCAACUCUCCUUAGUAAGAUUUUGAUUGUGAAAACAAGGCCUGUAAUUACUCUUAGCUUAAUAACUUAAUUGUUAGAGGGUUGGAAAUUUGUAAUUUUAGCCAGUUUCCACACCAAAUGGGAUUUAUUUGAGGCAUAUCAUGUUUCCACUGUUACCUAUUCCUUGUAUUCCAAUACCUAUCAAGGAGGAGUUUUGAUUCCUCAGAGGACAGGAUUUGGCACUUGUUAGAGUCAAAAAGUUAGAUUUCCUUAAUAUCCUAUUUCUGAAAUCUGAACUACCCUGAAUAUAUUCUUUUAACAACCCUAAUGUCGGGACCAACUUAUGUUCACCUCGCAGCCAAUUGGUAUAGUUCAGGCAAUACCUGGAUGACUCUUGGUUCUUGAGCAUGUUGGGGGAGCUAAUGGGUAAGAAGGAGAAAGCCCCAUGGUUGCACCUCACAGCCAAUUGGCAUGGUUCAGGUUCAUUUUUAGUUUCUGGGGCCUCUGAAAUGUUAGCAGCCAAUUCCAUCUGUGGUGGAUCCAAUCCUGCUCUUUCUGAGAAUCUGUAAACAGCAGCAGAUAUAAGGGCGUAACUUUUACAUUACCUUGAAGGCUUGAACCAGUAAGAGUACAAGAUCAUCUGUGCUAUAACAAUAAACCUCUUUGUUAGACAUUUACCAACAAUAGACACACUCAGAACUCAGAAGCAACAAACGAAUCACCCAUGUGAGGAACAUAUUGAGACGCAAUAUCACAAGGAAUGAUGAGAACAAACACCUCAAUGUGCUACUAUCAACCAUCCUCACAUGUUUCCAAUUAGCAAAAGAAAGAGGGGCAUGUCCAAAUUUUACAUUAGCUUGAACCAGUGAAACACUUGGCAUCUUACUCUGGAUGACGAAUAUAAAAGCGGAAGAAUCAACUAUGACCUGAGUGCAAGAUCAUCAGACCUCUUUUUUAUUAAUAACCAAGUGUUUGUAGUAGGAUUCAGAACUCAAAAGGAGGGAUUCAACAUGAUUGAUUACACGCGGGCUUCUCGGUGGAUCACCCUUCCCAAUACGUACUUCCAAGAUCAACAGACCUUCACCAGGAAGUAUCAAAGAACAGGAGUUAGUAACGGCUUGUUCGAAAAGUAUGCCUCCAAGUUUGCAAUGACGAGGUCAGCCAUCUCCUUACGGCUCUCCACAGUGGCAGCUGCGAUGUGAGGUGAUAGUACAACAUUAUUAAGUUUAGCUAGUUGCAUAGGCACUUCAGGUUCAUGUUCAAGAACAUCAAACCCUGCUCCUCCCAACCUGCCUUCUGCAAGGGCAGAAACCAGCUCAGGUUCAUCAAUAUGAGAACCCCUUGCAAUGUUGAUAACAACUCCAUUUGGACCCAAGGCGUCUAUAACUCCACGGUUGACAAUGUGAUGAGUUUCAUCAGUCAAGGCACAAGCAAUGACAAGGAUCUGGCAGUUGGAGGCCAAGUCAAUAACACGUGGAUAGUAGGUAUGCGUUGACUCUGGUUUUUGUGAACGCGAAUGGUAACUGAUUGAACAUCCAAAAGCUUCAGCUCUCUUGGCAAUUGCUGAACCAAUCCUCCCUAAGCCUACAACACCUACCGAUUUGCCGCUAAACUGAAAGAAAAAUGGAAGCACAAACCAAGAUAAGCUCUUAGGAGAAACAAGACUUAGAAAGGGGAAAGUAAAAAAGCUAACAUGGUUCAAUGCUUCAUUCUUAGACUUUUAAAGAUUUCCUAAAUGAUGAAGGGAUAAAAAAUUUUAACUAUUCCGAAAUGUCGAUUGUAAUAAUAAUAAGGGGUAAAUCAAAUUGAAUAUUCAACUUUAGAUAGGUUCAAAAUACACAAGGUCACCAGGCAAAGCAGAUAAAGUUCCUUGUAAUCAAUAUCAUCAUACCAGUUAAACAAGGGUAAAAAAAUGUUCUUUACAUUCGAAAUAUCUUAAUUUUACACGCCGCUAUUUCUAGAGACCUUCCAUACUCUUGUCAUUAGUAAAUAAUCUUGUAUUUGAGCUCGACUCAACAGACCUACCAAAAGUAAAAUAUCGGAUAAUUUUGAACCAUAAUCAAAAGUAUAGGGAUAGUUUUGGACCUUUUUACCAAGGUAUUUUGACACAUAAAUGAAAUCAACCCAAACUAUGCUGGAGCUAUGUUAAAAGCCAAGGGCAAAUAGGAAAUAAUCUGCUAAUGAAAAGGAUAUACAAGACUGCAAAAGUACAACGUAGUCUAAAAUUAAGAUAAAUAUGAACAUUUAUUUAAAUAAGGUAAAUGCUGAACACAUUGCACUCGAAUGUGUAGCUUAGAGGUUAAUGAGAUGAGUUGUGAAGCACAAAUAAUCUUCUUAUCUAUAUGAAUCUUUGAUGGGUAGAGUUACCAAAUACGUGUAAUGAUGGGAGGUAGUAGGUAGCCGUGGAAGACGUUCUACUAGAUCCAACUAAAUCAGGGGCGGAAUUAGGGGGUCCCCCUCCGCAAAAGUAUUAUACAAUAUAUAUAUAUGAUAAUUUUUUAUUUUAUUUUUAUUAUAAAAAGGACAAUCCGGUGUACUAAAACUACCGCUAUGCGUGGUGUCUGGGGAAGGAUCCCACCACAACGGUGUAUCGUACGCAGUCUUACCUUGCAUUUCUGUCGGAGGCUGUUUUCAAAACUUGAACCCGUGACCUCCUGAUCACAUGGCAACAAUCAUACGCAGCCUUACCUUGCAUUUCUGUCGGAGGCUAUUUUCAAGACUUGAACCCGUGACCUCCUGGUCACAUGGCAGCAACUUUACCGGUUACUCCAACUAAGAUCAGUGGUUUAGGUAAAUUCAAAAUUUACCUUCACCGGCAAAGAUGGGGACUGGUAAGCAAAAUGGGUCAAAAGGAUGUACCUUGGCAGUCAAAUCGAAAUCCUUUUGCUUCCAAAUCCCAUUCCUGACGAAGCGAUCAGCUUCACAAAUCCUCCUCAAAGUUGCAAUUGUGAGUAAAAUGGCCAUGUCUGCAACAUCAUCUGUAACAGCAUCGGGUGUGGAAGUGACCCUAAUCCCUCUCUCUUCGCACUUCACCAAAUCAAUCUUGUCAAGCCCAGAACUGUGACUCGAUAUGAUUUCCAAUCUGGGCAGAGCGUCGAUCAACGGAGAGUUGGCUCCCAGUACUCCAUUCCCCACCACUGCUCGGAUGGAAUCUGCGUGUAGUUUGAGAGAUUCAGCGGGAAUUUCCCAGUACUUGAAGAGGGUGAAACGUUUGGACAGCUCUUGCUGGAUGUAAUUGGACAAUGGACGCAUCAAUAAUACCCCUAUCUCUUCCAUUUCUGUUUACCACAACAAAAGGAGAUCUCUUUACCACUACUCAAACGAACCCCUUUCGUGUACUGAUUUUUUUUUCUUUUUGAAAAAGUUUCUUUCAUGGACCCGUGUACCAAGAUUUUACACAUGUUAAAUUUAGCUAGAGGAUGAAAAAGGGAGGUUGUGCUCCUAACACUGCAACAAUAUACAGUGCAAUUUGGCAUUAAAAGUCGAGGAGUUUUCAACGAGUUUUAGUCUGUUGUUUAUCCAAACAAUUUGAUAACUUCCAGAAAGGUUUGAAUGGUAAAUUGAAAUAUUCAGAGCAAGAGUUGAUCUUCGAAAUUGACUCGGACAAUCUGAACUAGUUAUUAUGUAGUCCACUCGUCACUGUAAAACUAUCACGGGACAGUGUAUCUAUCCUACAAAAUGACCGAUCAUUCAAUACGACCAGUUUGAUCAUGAAUUCUCUAACGAGAUCUCCCAUUAAACCAUCAACGUUGUAAUCAUUAAUGUAUUAUUUAUGUAAGAUGGAAAAUAUUCAGAUACAAACAGUGACAGCAAGUUGACGCACCCAAACAAUCAUGAAAUAUUUGCUCGAAAGCUCAGGAGACAAUGUGCUCCUACAUGAAGUGGACAUAAUUGUUGCAGCAAAAUGUAACGUCUAAACAAUAAUUAUGGCAGCCAUUCAUCAUAUUCUUAAACCACUGGAGUUAACAGCGGUUUCUUCAGAAAGUGAGCUUCUAAGUUCCCAAGGACAAGGUCAGCCAUGGCCUUGCGUGUUUCCUUUGUGCCACUACCUACAUGAGGCAAUAGGACCACAUUCUCAAGGCCAAAGAGCUGCUCUGGUACUCCAGGCUCAUUCUCAAACACAUCAAGGCCAGCACCCCCUAAUCGGCCUUCAAGAAGAGCAGAUACAAGCUCCUUUUCAUCAACAUGAGGACCCCUACCAAUGUUAAUCAGAACCCCUUUUGGUCCCAAAGCUUCCAUGACUUCACGAUUGACAAUAUGAUGAGUUUCAGGAGUCAGUGGACAUGCCACAACCAGAAUCUGGCAAUUGGAAGCCAACUCAGCAACACUUGGAUAGUACUUAUAAUUUGUAUUUGGCUUUUCUGAUCUCGUGUAGUAACUGAUUGGACAGUCAAAAGCUUCUGCUCUCUUAGCAAUUGCUAAGCCAAUCCUUCCCAAUCCUAUGAUACCCACUGAUUUGCCACUAAACUGCAAAAGAGAUGGAAGGAAUCAGGUAGAGAUUUAUACACAUCCCAAAGCCAAAAAUAUACAUCAUUGAAUGAAAGAGUACGUUCCAUUUUUCUCAGUCAAUUUGCCAGAUAUAAAAAGAGUAAUACCACAGGAAAAGGCUCCAAAAAUUACAACUAAGAACAACCAGAAAUUGCUAUCUGGUGACUAACUGGCUUUAGCUUCCACAGUUAAUGUGACACUACCUCCAAGACAAUUACUUACAACUAAUAUGGUCAUAUAGUAUGUCUUAGAGUUCCGUCCAAAGGAAAUUCAAGUUCUCCACUAGCCAAAGACUUACUGGUAUUCAAUAUCAAUUUUUCCAAAUGAAAAAAUGCUUUAUUUUGCUACAUAAGCACAGAAUACAUUUGAAGUACAUUAAGUUGAAAGGAAAGCAUGCAACACAAUUAAAGGGUAUUAUGGAAUAGCUCUCUUAAAAUGAACACAAGUUAUGGAUGAAUACUGAGGCUCAUCUAAAACAUCGAGCAACUCAAGGAUAUACAUAUUGCCACAGAUGUGUUAUAGAAGCAAAGAAGCUCUUUACCACAUAACAGUGAAGGAUCAAACAGUUGAAAAGGAGAACUCGGAACAAAAAUGAGCCACGAAAUUAAAAAAGUGACCAAAAUAGGUCACCUAUUUUAAAAGUUACCAAAAUAGGCUAAACGUAAUAAUUUAUUACGUUUUCUACUUUUUGUUAACGGUCAACUAACGGAGUUGACUUUUUAAAAAACGUAAGAAGUUAUUACGUUUUACACAUUUAUUUGUAAAACGUAAUAAUUUAUUACGUUGUGUCAGAAAAAUAUAUAAAACGUAAGAAUUUCUUACGUUUUAUACGAGAAUUGAGGUAAAGAAAGCCAUUGAUUAGUCACAUCAAUAAUAAAAGUCACUUUUCUGAAAAGUUGAACUAAAACGUAAGACUUUGCUACGUGUUUCACUUUUUAAAAGACUGAUAAAACGUAAUAUUUUAUUACGUUAUUAACUUUUUAGAAUCCAAGUGGUUUUAUAUAGUGGAUUGAUUAUGUCUUGUAUGCAGGUGAUAAAAGUUGACCAUGAGACUCACGGUGUUGACACCCCGGAAGAUGUAGACAAGAUAGAGCAGUUCAUGCGGGAGAGAAACUUCUCUUAGAGCAGAUUAUGUUUCUGUUGGAUAACUUUGGUGAUGUAUAGAGAUAUAGACGUUGAGCUUUCUGGAAACCAUUUUCAGUCGGACUCAGUGCACUAUUGGUGUUGCUGAAUUGUCUACUCGAACUUAGAAAUAGGAAGUAGCUGUAUUCAAUCCAAUGAAAUUCAAAUUUUGCUGUUCGUGAUGUAUACUGUCUUCAACCUUACUUGGGACUGGUUAUUUCCGUUGAUUUGCAAGGUUAUGCAUUUCUAAUUGUUUCAAUGAGUGGAAUUGUGUAAUUUGGAUAUGUCUACAGCAGCCCUGUCAAAUAUAUACAUUUUUUCUAGAGUGAAUAAGAUAUUUAGUUUUGCAUUGACAGCAUCUCAGUGCCAAUGUCUAAAGUCCAAUGGUGGUAGUUUGGAAAUGGUUGCAAGUGGAAAGCUUCGUGAGUAUAGAUUUUCCUAAAAUGCAUGGGUAAUAGCUGGUACAACUUCCAAUUUAUAAGAAACCAAAACGAAUUAGUGUUACUGGCAGUAUAAAAAGGACGGAUUCUAAAAAGCUAAUAACGUAAUAAAAUAUUACAUUCUAUCAGUCUUUUAAAAAGUGAAACACGUAACAAAGUCUUACGUUUUAGUACAACUUUUCAGAAAACUGACUUUUAUUAUUGAUUUGACUAAUCAAUGCCCUUCUUUUACCUUGAUUCUCGUGUAAAACGUAAGAAAUUCUUACGUUUUACAUAUUUUUCUGACACAAUGUAAUAAAUUAUUAUGUUUUACAAAUAAAUGUGUAAAACGUAAUAAUUUAUUACAUUUUUAAAAAAGUCAACUCCGUUAGUUGAUCGUUAACAAAAAAGUGAAAAACGUAAUAAAUUAUUACGUUUAACCUAUUUUGGUAACUUUUUAAAUAGAUAGCUUAUUUUGGUUCCGAGUUCUGAAAAUGACAGGUGAAUAUUAAACUGCAAGCUCCCUGAAAUAACACAAAGACCAGAUAAUAAGAGGGGGGACGACCCGGUUCAUACCUACUCCAUAGGUGUCGGGGAGGGGGGGACCACUCCGGGCCUGACCUACGCGCCCUCGCGUUUCGAACCCCCGACCCUGGCACACCUCGGUAAGCAAGCUUACCGCUGAGCCAAGGCCAUCCCUCUAAAGACCAGAUAAUAAGAGAAUUAACAGAAAUGACAGAACCUCCUAUCUUGUAAAGAGUAUUCGUUUGGGCUCUUGGUAUUUUCUUUUCAAGCACAAAAGUCACAGAUGAUAAAACAAAAGCUAUGAAAUCCAAAGCACUGCUAGAUAUUUAAUUGGCCAUCAAACACAUUAAAAUUACAUUAAUGCAAAGAAUUAGAUGCGCUGACAUAGAUCAGAAUCUGUAACCAUAUUUGGCACGAUUCAAUACUACAAUACGAGCCAAUAAUGGGUUUCUUGAGCCGCGGGUCUAUCGGAAACAACCUAUCUAUCUGUGAAGGAGAAGGAAGGUCUCCGUACACUCCACCCUCCCCAGACCCCACUUUGUGGAACUACACUAGGUAUGUUGGUGUAGUAGUAAUAGUAUGCGCCAAUACUAUUGAAUUUUUAUAUAUAUGGGAAAGCAGAAAUCAUCUCCUUUGUAUAAGUGGAUAGGAGAAGUACAAGAACUUGAUGUCAGGCAACAAGCCUAUAUUUCUAACACUCCAGUAAACCCAAGAAUCCACAGAUAGUAAUAUUUUCGUUUCUUUACAGCUAAAUUUCCCAUAUUUUUGCUUCAGGCAGCAAAGCCAAUAAUUGACAGAUGGUAAUAUUAGCAUCUCUUUAUAUCUAAAUUUCCCAUCUUUUUUGGUUCAGGCAGCAAAGCUUCAAAAUUUCAAUGAAAUGUGCUUUUCUCAUAGGCAUCAGACUAUGAUAUACAGACCUUAUAAAAAAAAGGGUCUAGUGCAAUAAAGCUCCCGCGGGGUCUAUCGUUUGCAGCCUUACCUUGCAUUUCUGCAAGAGUCUAUUUCCACGACUUAACCCGUGACCUCCUAGUAGGAUGAUAUACAGACCUAACAUGGACAAAAUAAAAGCGGCAGAAAUUGAACAAAAAGAAAGUGAAAAUUGGAGACCUUAGAAGUCAAUUUGAAAUCACCGGAGGUCUUCCACAGCCCUUUCCUAACAUAGCGAUCACACUCACAAAUCCUCCUAAGUACAGCCAGCAUCAAUCCAAUAGCCAAAUCAGCGACAUCCUCAGUCAAAACAUCAGGAGUAUUCGUAACCCUAAUCCCCUUCUCUUUACACUUAUUCAAAUCAAUCUUAUCUAAACCAACACUGAAACUCGAAACAAUCUCGAGCUUCGGAAGGGAAUCGAUUAACUCAGCGUCAGCGCCGGCGAAGGCAUUGCCGACAACAGCACGGAUGGAAUCAGCGUGCUCAUUCAGGAAUUCAGACUUCUGCGGGAAGUUCCAGAAGCGGAAGAGCUUGAAUCGCUUGUCUAGUUCUCGCUCUAAGUAGGAUGACAUUGGACACGCCAUCAAUACUCCGAUGCUUUCCAUUUUUUUGUUUGUGUGUGCGCGCGGAGAGUGAAGAGUUGCCUUGUGAACUCUCCUUCUUUUGUUAUGAGGAGUUGAUCAGUUGCACAAGAUGUGUGGUGACUUUUUCAUCUGUUUGUACAACAAUAUUAUGGGACAAGUAAAAUCAACGAGUGAGUAAUCCAUAUCAACUAAAUAUUUACUUGAAAAAUAUGUAUUAAAUUAAUUUUAUUAAUUAUAUUUUUAAAUUUUAAGUUUAAUUAUUGAAUUUUUUUUUUUUCAUUUGAUUUUACGUGACACUUUCUUUUUAUAAGUCUGUCGUAAAAAAAAUGUUAUCUUAUUAUAGUUAGAAAUAAUUGACUUUAAAUUUCUCUUUUAUUUCAAAUGAAAUGAUUUACAGUGAUACAACUAUCAAAAGUUAUUUUAAAUUAUAAGUUUUGAAAGUGUUUUUUUUUAAACACCAUAUCAAAGGAUGUCAUAUAAAAUAAGACGUAGAAAGUAAUUAUAACAUAUACUUAAAAAAAAAAAAAUAAUUUAAUUUGCUAAAACAGACAAGUAAAUAUGCUAACAUUUAUCAGAUAGUGAAGAUACACGUACAUGAUACACCACUCUUUUAACGAGAUCUAAAUUUACUCUAAAUAGCAAAAUUGUGGAAUAUAUUUGCCACUUUUCCAAUACUAAAUAUAACACUUCUUCAGCCCCAUUUUAUGCGUCAUUUUUUUUUUUUUCGUCCCAAAAAGAAUGUCAUAUUUUUUUAUUUUCUAUUUGGUAACAAUUUAAAGAUACAAUUUUACUUUUAUCUUUAUUGGUCCUACACACUUAAUUAAGGAUAGUAAUAGAAAAUUUUUUAAUAAGAACAAUAUGAAAAACAUUAUCAAAUCUUUCCUUAUUUUUGAAACUUCAUAUUCGAUCAAACUAUGACACAUAAAAUAAAAAAAAUGGAGAGAGUAAUAAAUUAUAAGGAGAGUGCUUGAUAAACUAAAAAUUACACAAAUACACAACUUAUGUUUCCAAUAUUACAAAAAAUCUCAAUUUCCUGAACAUAUUACAAAAAUUCCAACAUAUACACAGAAUGCUAUGUAUAUGUCGGCUAUUCUAUGUAUAUUAAUAGAAAGAGAGAGUAAAGUAAUUAAAAAAAGUAAUGGAGAGUAUAAUUUAUAUUUAUGUUAUUUAUACAAAUUUAAAUUUUGUUCCUAAAAGUGGUUACCGAUGACAUUACUAUAGGCCAGUUCGCAAUCGCUGCUUUUAAGCCCAUACCCGAGAGUCCAAAAUUAGUCUCAACACGCUCUGUAGCACUGGACGUGACUACAACUUGGACCAAAAAUCCAAAAGAAAAUCUUCUGGUGGACACAGAGAGAAAUGUACCUUGGUCGUCAACAUGAAAUCACCAUUCUUCUUCCAGUCUCCAUUCUUAAUGUAUCGAUCACACUGGCAAAUCCUCCUCAAAACUGCCAAAAUCAAAGCAAUUCCGGUAUCUGCAGCAUCAUCCGUAAUCAAAUCAGGACAAUAAGUAACCUUAAUCCCCUUUUCCCUGCAAAGUCCCAAAUCGAUCUUAUCCAAUCCCACACUGUAACUCGAUACGAUUUCCAGCUUCGGUAAUGCUCCGAUUAACUCCGCAUUUGCUCCUAUCGUUGCGUUUCCGACGACUCCUUGGAUGGACUCUGAAUGUAGUUUCAAAUAGUGGCUUUUUUGAUUUGCUGGGAAUUUCCAGAGGCGGAGGAAGUUGAAACGCUUGUCUAGCUCAUGUUCAAGGUAUGGUGACAUUGGGCAUGUCAUUAACACUCCUAUAGAUUCCAUUUCUCCUGCUUGUCUAGCCCUAUCCGCUUGAAUCUCGGUGCUUAUGUAAUUGGUAGGUGAGACUUGAGAGUUGCUCCACACGACAUGUGCCUUUUUAAAAGGUACCAUACAUAAAAAUGCUAUUUAAUUUGGCGUGAGAUUACAUUUAUUACCUUCAACUCUAGAUAUGCAUAAGUAGUAACUUAAAAUUUGUGUAAAGUUGAAUAAGUAGACAAUAUAUCCCAUGUGACAUCUUACAUGAUCAAUUUUUGUGUGACAUGAUAUCCUAAGUAUAUUAUGUCAUAUAGAAUGUCUUUAUUAGUACAAGUUUAAGUAUGCCACAUAGGAGAUAUGGCUUUAAUAUUAUCACUUGAUAGAUACAAGUCCAACCAAACAAAAUAAUGACAGUCGAUGCAUUAAAGUGUCCGUUAUGCUGGGAUUCGAGAAAAUACUAAUUUUUAUUGUACAUAAUCUUAUCAUGCAUUUCUACGAAAGAUUGUCUUCACAAUUUAAAUCCGUAACCUCAUAAUCACAUGGUAACAAUUUCACUAAUUGCUCCAAGGCUCUCCUUCACGUUCAACCAAACAAAGUAAAUUUAAUUCUGAGGUUAAAUUCUAAAUAUUCCAUCUUACCCAUGAACAAAACGAUCCUAAAGUUAAUAAUGGAAGACAAUAUGUGAAUUCAAUUAUAUUCACAUUAUCGCCUUCCUGAAUCCUUCCUGGUCCAUCAUUAUCAUGAUCAUGUGUUGCACCAUGCAUGCAAAUUACGUAUAAUAUUGCUUACUAUAUAAAAUUUUUUAAAAUGUUAUUAACUUUUAAAUAAUAUAACAAUUAAGCCUUUUGCAUUGUUUAGUGAAUAAAAGUUGAUUAAACAACUGAUCAUCAUUCAUAAGGUUGGCUAUUGUUUUCCCAGAAGCAAGUCGUGCGAAGCAGUUACGUAAAAUAAAAAAGGCCAUAUGCCAACCUUGGAGAGAACCACCCCAUUUGUUUUAUCAACUUACUAUUUGAAUAGAAAAUUAGUAUGGAGAAAAAAUAAGUUAUCUUUUUAAUUAGGGAAAAGAAUACAGACAAAAUAUAAGUACACAUUAUUUUUUGGCAGCAGUUUUGCCAAUAUUUGACCUUAUCUCGAUUCUUAUUUUAUGAAAGUAGAAUGUGUGCCAUUAACGUUCACCCAUUUGUUGUUUCAGCGAUGUUCUUCUGAACAAGACAAGAAAACAAAAUGGUUAAUAACAUCCUUUGGUACCUUAGUUAUUAUUAAAUUUAAUCUUACUGUUUGUUAACAUCUAACAUAUUUAUUAUAUUGAAAUGUGUAUUGUUAAUCCUUUUGCUUAUGAACAUUCACAGAUGUUCAGAUCAUUAACCGUUCCACCGUUUAAUACCAUGCAUUAAGCUAAAAUCCAUACAGCUAUCCUAUAUUUAAGUUUAAUAUACUUUUAAAAAUGAUCAUAACAUAUACCUAUAUAAAAAGACCAAAAUAACAUAUUUUAUUUAAUUAAAGUUAAAUGUAUUGAAUAAGGGUAGUCUGGUGCUCCACAACACACGGUAUGUAUAGAUUUCGAUGAAAAAUCGAACCUCAAGGGUUAAUAUAUAGUAUAACUUUACCUUGCAUUUCUAUAAUAUGCUAUUUCUUGGCUUAACCUAUGACCUCCCGGUUAUGGAAUGCUCAUAAAAACUUGCCAAUCAAUCCUUCAUUUAUAUAGAAAAAAACAUACACCCCACGUUCUCUCAACCAUUCACAAAAACAGAGAGCCUAACAUCAAAGACUCCUUCAUUUUCCAUCAACCAAGAAAGAAAAAAGACUUGUGUCUCUUUUUCUCUUCCUAUCUNNNNNNNNNNNNNNNNNNNNNNNNNNNNNNNNNCGCCCUAUCAUUGCAUAUUUUCUGUUUUAUUGUUUCGACCUCAGUCGUGUUGGUAUUAUUUUGUUGCUUGAAUCAGAAAAUAUGGUUCGAGCAGUUGAGGAAGAGAAAUUAGAGAUUCCUUCAACAGAAUCUCAAAACGUUAAUGGGUGGAGACUUACCCGUAAAGAGACCAUCAGGGCACGUAAUAUUAGUAAGGCCGAUGAUUCUGCCUCUCCUACCGUCAACCAGAACAACGCUCCUUCAGGCAUGUCAUCUUCUUCUUCUCUUCGAAAAUGUUGUCACAUACUUCAUUCAUUCAAAUGUGAAUAUUCUUCUCGCCACUCAUAAUGGAUAAUUUUUUAACGGAAUUUAGAUAUUUCAUUUCACUCCCUUUGAGGCUUCAACUCGAGGCUAAUUUUUUCAAGGAUUUUUUUUUCUUUUGGAAAUUGGCAAAAGCAUUCAAUUUUAUCUGCUCCUGUUUCAUGUAGUUUUUAUGAUUUUGUUUCUUCCAAUCCCUAUGCCGCUCCUUAUGUGCAUUCUACAAUUCAUGUUGGUUAUGGCAGAGUCAGAAAUUUCAUUAAAGGGGUUCGAAGUGUACAGAAACAAAUCAUAGAAGAAGGAUAUAUGGGGUUCAACAUAUGCUAUACAUGCAUAUUAAAAAAUAAAUUGACCUUAUAUAUACCGUGUAAUUUUCUGGCGAAGGAACCCUCCUGGCCUCUUAGUUCCGUCUGAAAUGAUUUUACAUGGAUUUCUAUAAUAACAAUAUGUUUUUUUUUUAAUCUUCUUUUCUUUUUUGCUUGGUCUGACCAUAUUUUUGGCGAAUGUGCUCUUCUAAUUUUUACUCAGAAAUGGAGCAGAUGAAGGAAAAAUUUGCCAAGUUGCUCCUUGGUGAGGAUAUGUCUGGUGGAGGAAAGGGUGUUUCAUCAGCAUUGGCGUUGUCAAAUGCAAUCACAAACCUAGCAGGUAUCCUUAUCCCGCCAUGUCUUCAUCUGUAUAUAGCGAUAUAUUUAUGAAUAUAAACAAAAUCAAUAUAUCUUUUGUUUCUUUUUCACAAAUAUGCAGCUUCGGCAUUUGGAGAACAGAAGAGAUUGGAGCCCAUGCAACCAGAGACGAAAAUCAAGUGGAGAAAAGAAAUUGAUUGGCUCUUGUCUGUUACAGAUCAUAUUGUUGAAUUUGUUGCUUCUAAACAAAAAGCAAAAGAUGGAACAACCAUGGAGGUACACAAUGGUCUCUCCUCGAAAAUUCCUCUUCUCAUCUAUUACCUAUGUUCCUAACAAACUAACAAGAGCCAAAUGCUUGCUUUUUUCAGAUUAUGAUAACAAAGCAGAGAACCGAUCUUCAAAUGAACAUCCCAGCAUUACGUAAACUUGACACAAUGCUUCUGGUAAAGCGAAAACUUUCUUUCAUUUUUUGGUUCGGUUAUAUCAUUUUAAAUAAUGUAGUUUGCGUUUAGUUAUGCUUCUGUUUGGUUUUACAAUGAACAGGAUUGCUUAGAUAGUUUUGAAGACCAAAGUGAAAUCUCUUAUACAUCCCAGGACGAAGAAGGAAAAAACAGCAGGAAAGAUGAUAAAUGGUGGAUACCUACCCCUAAGGUUCCUCCUAAUGGCUUGUCCGAUGCUACAAGGAAAUGGCUGCAAUUUCAGAAAGAUUCGGUAAACCAAGUUCAUAAAGCAGCCCUCGCCAUAAAUGCUCAAAUUCUUACAGAGAUGGAGGUUCCUGAAAAUUAUAUAGAAAACCUUCCCAAGGUACAAUAAGGAUAAAAGAAUUUAGCAUCUCUCUGUUAGCAGCUUACUAUUUUGAUUUAAUUUACACUUUUGUGUAUGUGUUAAGAAUGGGAGAGCAAGUCUUGGAGACUCGAUAUACAGGAGCAUCACGGAUGAAUACUUUGAUCCUGACUACUUCCUUUCAACUAUGGACUUGUCCUCUGAACAUAAAAUUCUAGACCUCAAGAACAGGAUUGAGGCUUCCGUAAUUAUUUGGAGAAGAAAGAUGAAUGCAAAAGAUGCGAAGUCAGCUUGGAGUUCAGCUGUUAGUAUGGAGAAAAGAGAAAUAUUUGAAGAGCGAGCUGAAACUAUCUUGCUUAUCCUUAAGCAUCGGUUCCCAGGAAUUCCUCAGUCAUCGCUAGACAUAAGCAAAAUUCAGUACAACAGAGUAAGAAGACCCCGUGUUGAUUAUUUUUCCAUUUUACUGAUAUUCUAACGUGUCAAGACUGCUUACCUGCUUAUUUAUGAAAUGCAUUUACCAGAUCAUCCAUACGCAUUGACCCCUACUUCACGGAAGGAUUCAGCCUUAUAGAAAAUCCAGUUGUUUUCAACAAAAUCAUAACCUAUUAUCUAUUUUGUCUUAUAGGAUAUCGGGCAUGCUAUUUUAGAAAGCUAUUCAAGAAUAAUUGAGAGCAGGGCAUUCACAGUCAUGUCGCGAAUUGAAGAUGUAAUACAAGCAGAUAAUCUAGCCCAAGAUCCUUCAAAUGGAGAAGUGAAGAGGUAUCCUAUCGAAGAUCCAUUGAAAGUAUCAUAUGGAAUGAACGACAAGGAAGAUGUAGAGAAGCUUAGUUCUGGAGAUACUCCUAAUUCAAUGACACUGCUGGAUUUCAUGGGAUGGGAGGAAGGAGAUGAUGAUGCGGAGAAAGAUAUGAAGGAAGACCAAUCCAAAGAAAGUGACGCAAAACUCGUAAGCAAACCUCCAAAUGUAGUUACUAACAAUAGAGUCUCUUACCUAGAUAAUUUAGCUGGUCUCAGAAGUCCAACAGCACGCCACUAAGCGACUUCACUGCAGAAUACUGAUUGACUCAUCAGACGCAAGGACAGACGGACAGAGUUUCACCAGAUUUAAGAAAGCUCGGCGUCAAGUGUACAUAUCGAGAUGAAUCACAACAAUCUAGGAUUUCACUAAAGUCAUUCCUUUUGUAAGUAGGGAUAAGUUAGUAGACCUAAUGGGCCUGUGGCAGUUCUUGAAAUCGUUUACUCAGUACAAGAUGUCACCUUAUUGUUGAACAACAAUGGGAAUUGCUGACCUUUUACCUGGAAUAACCUCUGGUUUCAGAUCUAUUAAUAAAAAAAUAUGAUCUGUAGUUCAUCAUUUUAAGUUUUAUCUGGUUUGCAGUUUACAGAAUCAUUAAUUGGUAAUAAGUUCAAUCACCAGUAACUUAUCUUAAAUUCCUUUCACUUCAACUAAAGAAAGUAUAGGUAAGAACACAUCAAAAAUUUGCUAAUAUUCGCAGACAAAUUAAAGCAAUCAAGUAAGAAAGCAAAUGCUACAAAUUCACCGUAAGACAUAAAUUAUAGUAAUGGUAAGUCUUCAAUUAUACUUAACACAAACUGGAGAACAUACAUAAAUUACAAAUUGAAGUAUGAGAAUUGGAUCUGAAAGCAAUUAGAUCUUGUCACGUGGCCCGAGCUUGGGUGGAAGUUGUGGGCCUUUCUUGAUUGGUAGGAUAUCCCCUGAUGCUGUAGAACUGAAGUAAGCGAGGGUGGAGCCACCUCCCAAAAUCAAAAAUUUGAGCAAGAGACCUCUCUUGGUGAAUGGAGCAGCAAAUGUCUCAAAGAACUUGCUCUACAAAACAUACAGCAGCACGCGACACAGUUAAGUUGGUUGGCAUGGUUUAGAUUGCUUCGCAUUUCGAAGAUCAUAAUCUUAAACUGUUUGCUUUUAUGCUUUGAAAGAAAUUUUUUUUAGGAUAGAGCUUCUUGAAAAUGUGCUUAUCCAACUGCAAUCAGAAUCAUAAAUUACACCAUGGCCAACUUAUAUAAAAGUUAGCAUGUGAUCCAUCCUACAAAUGAUUUAUUACCAAGCAAUGACGAAAAAGAUUCCCCGUCUAAAUAAAUGAAAAACAAAACGACAACUCAAGCAUAGUACCAAUGAAUGCAAAAUUGAAGUCAGAUGAAUAAUAAGUAAUCUUGAUAACUUUUGGAAUUCCAGAUUCGUAAAGAGAUAAAUCUGGAAACUCUGAAGAGUAUCAACGAAUAAGGCAAAAGCUCCAAGUUGUGCUAUUCUCAAUGGUUAUGGAAAAUGACCAUAUAAGUAUGUUAUCAUACUUCUCUCCAAUUGCAAUUCUAAACAAAUUCAUAAAGUUAGACUCACUAACAGGUCAUGUGAAAAUGUCAACGGAAGUACCAUACACAUAUACAGAAAACUAACAAAACGGAUCAAAUUGAGUGGACAAAAAUAAAGUACCUGAAGAGAGUUGUAUGGUGAAGGUGCAUCUGAUCCAUACAAGUCCCACUGGCCAGUGGUGUUGCCCAAAUCCUCCAAAUCAAAGUAUACACUCUUGUCACCAUAUUUGGCAACCACGGGACCAGCCCUACAAUACAAACAUGUAAUUAGUCAUAUCACAAUGACCUCAACAAUUCAUGUUUAUAAGCAAUAAAUACAUCCAAUGUCAUUUCAACCCCGUCUUCGGUGCCUAUAUGAACAGGGUAAUUUAAAUCUUUUGAAAAUUCCUUCUUUUGUUGGAUGAACUGAAUCAAACUUCCUACCAACAUAACUAGCAAAUGGAUGUUCACAGAUGACACCAAGAACAUUGAUAACAUAAUUAGUUAAAUAAAACUUGUAUUUCCACUACUGUCUUAAACAACGGGGUGGUCACACACAGUAGAGGAGCCAGCUUUAAAGCUACGAUUUCGCAGAAUCCAGUACCUUCGGUUCAAACCAUGUAUUUGUAUUUAAAAAAAACUCAUUUAAUAUGUAGAAAUAAUCUAUCUAGAAACCCAAUAACGGAAAAAAGAUUAUGAUUUAGAACCCAUAAAGUAAAAAUCCCGGUUUCGCCUCCAGUCACAAACUGAGUUCAAGUCACACAGUCACCCACUGUCAAAGACAUAUUGCAGUACAUGUUUGGCUAAGGAAAAAAGACAAGACGGCAUAUGAGGAGACAUGUUGAAGAUAUAUUUAAGUACUCCCUUCGUUCGGUUCACGAGAGUCUAUUGACUAAUCUUCAUGGCUAAAUUAAAUUAGAUUAGUUCAUUAUUUUAAAAUUUAAAGUUUAGAUGUUCUAUAACUAUAUAAAAAAUACUACAAGUUACAAUAUUAUUAAUAUGAUGAACAAAUACAUCUUAUAAUGAAGGGAGUAACUAAAUGUGUAAAUCAUAAGUUGACAAUGACAAAAAGGUAGAGGACAUCAUCUAAUUACCUGGAUUUAGUGGCUUUCAAAUUGACACGAGAUGACUUAAGAUGAAGCUUAGUUCCGGUGAUGGAGCUUCCAGCUAGGCCCUUAACGUAGGUAGUGGGCUGCACUGCUGCAAGUGUUGCUAAAGAUGCCAUUGCUCUUACACUCCAAACUAACAAAACUACUUUCACAAUUCAGA
rnacentral:lncRNA from 1 species